CCUCUACUGGUGCAUCACGAAGCAAAAUAAGAAGGUACCUGCCAUUUCGUCAACAGCAUAAGCAAAAUGUUACAUUGUGUAGCUAAGGAAGUUAUGAAGAACAAUAACUGAUGCCGAUGAAAGCAGGGGGGAAGAAAAAGAGCACUAAACUAGAAACACUUGAUCAAAAUAGUGCAAUUCACCAUAAAAAAUUAUAAAUAUUGUACCUAUAAAAAGACGAUGAAUUAUAGUAAAAAGUGAAUACUUCUAGUUUCUUUUUAGUUGAGUAUCUUAAUAAAUUUGAUAAAACCAAAAACAUGACACAGGACGUAAAGGACUUAACAAAUAACCAUAAAUAAAGAAAAGAAUCUAGGUCUGAAGUCAACCUUCCAGAGGAAGAGGCUCUUAAGGCUCUUAUGGGUGCACGUUCAGGCUUUUGCAAAACCCGGAAUUGCCUAUUUAGGCCACUUCUAACACAGGUCACAAUGAGCCUGUUGAUGAAACCUCCAGAUUUUUCACUCACCUAGAUCAACAAAGGUAAUGCUACAUAUUAUGAUCAACACAGAUUGAUGAUUAUUUAUAGAUAGAAAAAAGACAAAAAAUAUACUAAUCAAGGAUAAUGCUGAGCAAAAAUCACUAACUAGUAGAUGCAAUCAAACAAUUGAUGUGAUGUUUGAAUUCACCACAACCUACCUGACUGUAUGAAAAUGAAACCAGUCUAGAAUUUCCAAGCCAUCGUAAUCCCCUAACAGUACCAUUAUGAACAGAAAAACUUGCAGCGACAGCAUUGGCAGAAACAUCAACAAUGUCAACUGUCCCACUUUGAGUUCCCAAAGCAACCAAUGGAACAGCUACAACAGGAUAGUUUCCCCCACCUUCAUACAUAAUCAACUUACAUGGUAUCAUAAUUUCUCCCAAAUGAUGCUAACUCAGAAAUAUUCUUAAAAUAUAAAAUCAACAUAUACAGUAGAUUAGUGACAAGAUUUACUAACGGCCCAGAGUAGCUGUUGAAGAAGGUGAAGGAACAGCCAGCAUAGUCACUGCUGAAGAAAGGAGCUGAAGCUGUCCAACUAAGCUAAUCUGCAUCAGUAAGUUGGCUUUGUAAGCAUGCAGGAAUUUAAUUUCAAAUCUUCACUAUCAGGGAUUGGUUGCAUGGCAUUUUGGAUGAACUGAAUUUAUAGCUAUAACAGAAAGAAAAUAGAAAAGAAAAGACUGGUAGUCCAGUCCUGUGAUCCUAUUUCUACUGAAGCAACAAUGCACAGAAUGGGAAAUAAAAAACAUAUAGAUGAAUGGAAUUUACGGCAAGGUAUAACAAAUAGUACACGAAAUAAAACCAACUGUGUUCUGAACUACAUGCAACCAUCAAAAACAUAUGAUAGCGCCUGUGUACAUUGUAAGGGUGGGGGUGUGUGUCCUUUUGAGGAUCUAAACAAAGUCGUAUACCAACUAAUACCUAGAUAUUUUUAAUAAGACUGGGUGUGGGAAUUACAUCUAGUGAUCCAAGUCACAUCCAUUGUUAGUUACAUUAAAUUCUCAAGCCCAAAAACCAUCCAGUGAUAGGCAUUAACCAUGAAAAAUUAAAAGUUGGAAAAACUACAAACGAACCUUAAGUACCAAGUCUGUAUGGCUGACAGUAGAAUUUGAAGAUCGACCUCUACCACCGUUGAUCUUUUCUAUUUGUUUGCCGACUUUCAUGUCAAGUCCUCCAGUAGAAGAAACUAUAAUGUUCGUAUUCGUACCAGGAACUGGCACUUCACUAAUACCCAAGUUUGUAUCAUCCUUUCGAUUAUCUUCAAGCCCUUCAGCGGUCAACAGCCAGUUCCAUAUUUUUCCAUCAUCAGAAAUGGAGAUCAAAUGCGUUUUAGAAACAAGAAGAGGCUCAUCACAAAAAUCAAAAGGAUUAUCGAAAUCCACAUCGGGGAAAGGAGAAUGAGGUACAUCAGAGUAAAGCUUGCCGAUGUUCUGGAGGGUCGAAUCUGAUUGGGAGAUGACGAGAGCAAGCACCAAAGGAGAUGGGACAGAUGUGCCAAUUGACGGCAUCAGCUCUUCCAUUGAACACAUUAUGUGCACCUGCCCUCCUCUGCACAUACAUACAAUAUGCAUAAUAAGAUGAAUAUACUACUACAUUUUGGUUUUUCAAUCUAAACAUUUUGUAAGCUUUGCCUGAAAAUGGUUCAAAUGCCUAUAAAUUCCUAUCCAAUUUCACAUUCUACAUCCUACAAUUGAUCAAUUGAUAUUGAAAAAGCUGCAAUCAGUCGAUUUUUCGAAAGACUCACUCUUUUCGCCGCCAAGUACUGAGCUUUCCAUCGAGAUGAGCGCAGUAGAGGAACUCAUAAUUUGGAUCCGGCAGCACAUCGAGAAACUUGCCGCAGCCACGAGGCAAUGUGGCGGAGAAAAGCGGCGUCUCGUACUGCAAAUCGAACACCACCAACUCCCGCGGGAACGUGACGAAAAGAAUGUGCCGCCACUGCAGCGAGAACGCGAACCUCACGGCGUAGGUCGGGAACACUGCCGAGGCCGACGACGAGUUCCCGGAGACUCCCCCAGCCAUGUCCCUCUCCAGCUUCAGCAACUCGGUAGAGUCAGUCCGAAUCUGAAACUCCUUGAUGAUGACAUCGGAUUCCGUCUCACCCAACACGGUGACCGAGAGCAGGAAUCCUUUGAGUCCGACUACGCAGAAAUGGCGCGAAUCGAAGGGAUCACGGCGGAUGCAGGAGAGAACUUCGGGCGCGGCGUCGUAUUUCCAGAAGCAUCGGCCGGUGGAGCUGUUGUAGAGUGAGAGGGAGGAGAAUCCGGAGAUGGAGGCAAGGAGGUAGGAGUCGGGUCGGGCCUGGACCCACGCGAGGUCCUGGAUGGCGAGUUUGGAGGGGGAGGAGUCGGUGUCGAACCAGAGAAUAGGGGACUUCAGGCGGAGAUCAAGGAGGGCGAUGCGGCCCUGGCGGUCGCCUGCGGCGAGGAGGAGGUGGGAGCUGGAGGGCUCGGUGGAGAGGAGAUCGCGGCGGAGAGGGAGCGGGGUCCAGCGGACGGAGGUGACGAAAGGGGAGAGGGAGGAUGAGGUGGAGGAAGAAGAUUGGGUUGGAGGGGGCAUAGGGAUGGUGACGAUGAGCUGCAUUGAGCGAACGUCGAGGACGGAGAUGGAGCUGCCGGAGGGGAAUGCGAGGAGGCCGGAGAGGCUGAGGUCGGCGGAUCCGAAGUUGUUGCGGCUGGGUGGCCCCGGCAGCAUGCAGUCCCAGCAGUCCUGGACUGUAGACCCCGUCGAAGCUCUAGGGCUCGACAUUCUUCCGUUUUCUGUCCGACUUUCUUCGUCUACCGCUGCGACUGCGGGUAUGUCGACAUUUCGGACACAGCGAGAGAAGAACGUUCGCCGUUGUUUUUUUUUUUUUUUUUUUUUUAUAUACAUAUUUUUUCUUUUUUUUGUCAAAACACAUUUUUCUUCAUUUAGUUUUUUUUUUUUUUUAAAUUAUCUACCCGCACACAAGACACACCCAACACAAACCCUAAUUUAGGGUCUUAAAAUGAAUCAACUAUACACUAAUUAUUAUGAAGAUUCAAUAUUCUGUUGAGGAAUGUAAGACGUAUACUCACAUUAAAAAUUUGAUAGAACAUCACACUUGUCGGAUUUUGCAAGUAAUUAAGUUAUAGAUUUAUACCGCGACGAUUAUAAACUUAAUUCUAAAAUGUUAAAUUUAUUUCAGUCAUUAGUAGUCAUAAUCGCUAUACAUGAUGUGUGUUGUUGAAGAAUGGACGCACCACUUUGAAUAACAUGUCGGUAUUACAGAAAUAUCAUCAGGUGUAGACCUAUCAUGCAAAAUGAGCUCUAGACAAAGGCAACCAGCCAAAGGACUAUCAUGAAAAGAAACAUGUGUAGUUGUACUUGAAAGUAAGUUGGCAAUUCGGACUGCUCAGAAAUUUGAAAGAUUGGAUGUGCACACAGCAGAAGCAGAAGGGUUUCAACCUACUUUGCUUUGGAAAGAUAUCAAGAUUGUACGGCCAUUUUCAAGAGACGACUACACAUGAGAGAACCGGAUUCCCUCCGGACCCAAGGGAUUUGAGCCCAAGGUAUUGAGGCAAAUGCCUCAGCAUCAAAAGCGUUAGUUUGUUAUAACAGUAAAAUGUUAGCUGAGAUGAGUAGUGGUACAACAUGUAAUUAGUUAUAGUUAGCUAAGUGUAUUGUUGUUCCGAACCAAGGGUUGCAUAUACUCUUCAAUGUAAUAACAUUAUCAAGUAAUGAAAAGUAUUUCAUCACAAUUCUCUCUCUCUCUACAUUUCUCCUUCUUACUCUAACUUAUUUCUUACUUGAGAAGAUAUUGGUUUCUACACAAGAAUCAAAUUAUUCGGGUCAUUGAAAUUUGAUCUAACGGCAACAAACAGGGGGCUCCUUUAAAAGUUAUAAUAACUGUAGUCGUUGGAUCCAAUUUCAAUUGCCCUUAUCAUUUGAUCCUUAAGCUCAGUUCCUUUGGGUCCAGAGGGGAUCCGGUUCCCACAUGAGAGACAUGUAAGUGUGGUUUCAUUGCAAAUUUGCAGUGUUCACCAAACCACUAAAAGGAUGACCUAAGCCAACAAGGUUUUGCGGUGUGCGGGGUUAAGAGAAAUGUCUAUCGUACGCAACCUUAUUCUUGUUUUGUAAAUAUGUUGUUUAUAUAACUCAAACCUAUGACCUUUCGGUCAUAAAAGAAUAACUUUCCGUUAUAAACAGUAAAAAGCCUGCUAAAAAAUGCCACUCUAUUUGAAAAUUAUAGUAUUGGUUCGGUGUAUUCUAUACUCUGAAACUUUUGUCCGUCAGAUUUUGAUCAUUAAAUCUUAAUUGAGAAUCUAAGAGCACUUCCAAUGUAUGAAGCCCCAUAUGCAAUAGACAACUCAAUCUCCUACACUGAACAGUAAUUGCCCAAGUACUUCACCCUUAAAUUGAAUAGCCAAACACUUCGUAUUAAAAUAUUAGUAUUUUUUAUUUUAUAAAAUAAUAAAAGAUAACUUUAUUUUUAAUUUUGGAUAAUAAUGAAAGAUUGAUUAAAAGUAUUUAAAAAUAUUGAAAUGUAAUAUAAAAUGGAAGAAUAUAGUUAGGUAUUUAUAGAAAAAAAAAUUACAAUUUUUAUAUUUUUAAUUAGUCUUUUAUAAUUUAUAUAAUUUUUUAAUAAUUUAAAUUGUGGUUGACGUGAUGACGUCAUAUAGGCAGGAGCUGGGCUGGGCAAUUAUUGCCUGACUUUUCCAUAGAGCUCGCUUUGGACCCAAUUACCCGAGUAGUUUGGAGUAUUUUGAAAAGAGGAGGGCGUGAAUUGAGUUGUCUAUCCUAAUAAUGUAAUAAGCAACGAUGAAGUUGUUUGAACGACAAAAGACUUCAAAUAUAAGAUUAAAAAAUUCGAACUGCUUUGUACUGUGCAAGUGAACAUAAAGGUAAGGUAUUCCUUUGAUUUGUGUGCUACAUUAAAAGGGUGGGUAAGGAGUAUUUAAUCCCCAAGAUGCUCCAUAAUACCUCUGCACUCUGCAGGUUUUCAUAAUUAUGAAUUUAUGAUCUCACUCAUAAAGCUAGGAUGUACUCGAUAUGUGACAGGCUUCUUCGCUGCCCUUGGAUCCGUCAACCACACAAUGUCCAUGUUAACGCUUCCAUCUAACGGUCAUCCUUGGCACAAAUACGUUAUAGUAAUUUGUGUGGAAAUGCUGGGAAUAUUAACUUUUCAGACCACCUCUGAGGAUUGAUAGUUAGAUUUAUUCUUUAACGAUUUAAAAAAAGAAUUCAAUAAUUAAUUGUCAUAUUUGUGCUUUACAAAAUAUAUUUUGAGUAUAUUAUCUUUCUAGCAUUACUGAAUUUUUUUAUAGGACUUUUUUUUACAAAGAUAAAUUAUGUCUCAUAACUAAGACAUUAUCGUUGUGUCACUAACAUCUUUUAGUGUCACCUAGUACCUAUCUAUUACCAACUUACUAAAAGGGUUGUGCUAUCCACACAUGUAUUUUUACUUCUUACACAUUCCUUUCAAUUUUUAAUCGUCAGAUUGAAUGAAUUGAAGAAGAUUAAUGGACAAAUUUUAACAAGGGUGUGUGGGAAGUAAAAAGGCCAGGAGGAUCCUCAAAUCGUGUCCGUUCAUCGUAUAUCGUACGAUCAGUUUUCAUCAGGUACUAUUCAUAUUUAAUUUUAAAUAAAAGUAUUUAAAACGAUUUUUGGCCUCACGAUGUAUGAUUAACGGACACGAUUUGAGAAUCUCUAAAAUCCUCACAAAGAGAAUCCCUAGGAUCCUCACAAAAAGAAUCCGAAAAAAGAUCAUCAUUUGUAAAAAGAAAUGUGUGAAUAAUAUUACCUUGUUCAAACCCUGCGGUGCCUAUCUCAUUUUCACCUUUUUGACACAAGUGGCAAGCUUGAAUUGUAUGGUGGUUCCAUAGGAUUGUGUCUUGGUCAAGACUAAGUUUCUCCCUUUAAGAGAAACCAACUCUUACAUUGGAGAGAUUUUUUAAUCUGACCGUCAUACGAGAUGGUAUACCACGUGUCUCUAUAUAAAUGGUGAGUUAUGUGUGUUAAAAGGUUAAUAAUUUAAAAAUUAAAAUUUUCCACCACUUGCAUAAAAACACGUGAUGUGCCAUCCAUGUUCCUGUCACAACUAAAAAUUUCUCCUUACACUGGGUGAGACCCUUGUUAAAUCAUAUGGCUAAAAUACAAACAGUGUCAUGGUUUUAUUGUACGUUACGAAUGGUAUCAACCAACAUUCUUACUUAAGUUUUUCUCCAACUAUAUAAUUAAAUUUAAAGUUACUUUUAGUAUUUAGUUCAUUAAACAAUAAUUCAUGUUUGUCCAAAAAUUAUCAUAAAGCUUAUGGAAGCCAAAACUUAGUAUUCAUCGACAUACUAAAUGCCAAAAGGACUGAUUCUCUUAGUUAAGAAAUUAUCAUAGUAUGUUUGAUAUUUAAGUAAUUAAGAAUAUUUAUCUUUGUACUCAAAAUUCUGAACUGGGAUGAUUAGUACAACUAUUUGCACACCCACAUUGAGAUUUGAGAAGGGGGGAAAAUGCCAUGUUACAUGACAUGUCUUGUAGAGCAUGAUGUCCAUUUCUCCUUGGUAAGAAUAAAGAUAGGGUGUCAAUUUUCUCCUCAAGUUUGUGUCUGCCCAUGCUGGGCAAAUUGCUGAAUAGUAUGGGGGAGGGUCAAUUUUACAGGCACAAUUUGAUGCCCACCCACAAGCCACACUAACCUCUCUCUCUCUCCUUCCUUUUUUUCCCAAGAGGGUGACCCCCAACACACCCAAAGGAAAAGAUUGAACAUCAAAACUAUGGUAAACUUUCUAAAUUAUUGGGGGAAGACAAAAGCGUGGGAAAGCUACCCAUCCUCUCUCCCCAUGUACUACCCAGCAAAAAACUGUCCCAUCCCAUUGCACAAUCCAGAGAGAAAUGAGAGAUUAAAGCACAACUAACCCAUCACUCCAGUCCAUGUAGGUUUCUAGAGUCCCGGGACUAAUUUAUCCUCCCACCAAAACCCGCUAUUUCUCUUCCUCCUUGGGAUUAUUUCCCUCCUGCUGCUGCUGCUCUUCACAGAUGCCUAGGCCGGGCCCGAGACCGUAUGAGUGUGUCCGGCGAGCUUGGCAUAGCGAUAGGCACCAACCCAUGAGAGGUUCCAUCAUUCAGCAGAUUUUCAGGUACUGGGUCGUCUUUGUUUCCAUGGAUUUCUCGGUAAAGGUCUCUGCUUUUUCACAUUUUGCUGAUUGCCCACCACCUGUUUGAUUAGGGUCGUCAAUGAGGUUCACAGCUCCGUAACGAAGAAGAACAAGGAAUGGCAGGAGAAGCUGCCUUUGGUGGUUUUCAGAGCAGAGGAAAUUAUGUAUUCAAAAGCCAAUUCUGAGGUUUUUCUCUUUUGCAUUUCAGGUUUGCAUUUGCUUUUUUGGCUGUUCCAUUGCUCAUUUUUUGCUUUGAUUUGUUGAAGGCCGAGUACAUGAAUCUUGACACGCUAUGGGAUAGAGCAAAUGACGCCGUUAACACAAUUAUCCGGCGAGAUGAGGGCACUGAAACCGGGGAGCUUUUGCCGCCUUGCGUUGAAGGUAACAUUGUACUGCUUUCUUUGCAUUUUGUUGGAUUGAACUGUGAAAUUAUGCUACUUGGUUGUUCUCAUUUCUCAAUGUAAAUUAAUUUAGCUCACUGUUCAAGCUUAGUUUAGUUUGUAAGAAGAGAUUAUUGUGCAGAGUGACUACACUAGAGGUGUGAUUUGUAUGUGUGUUUUGGUUCCUCCUCUUUAUGUUGUUCAGCUGCCCUUAAUCUGGGUUGCACUCCAGUAAGAGCUUCGAGAAGCCAACGGAACAGUAAUCCGAGGAGUUACCUCGCUCCAAGAGCACAAGAGCCCGCUCCUACGCCUGCUAGGGUUUUGGAUAAAGCUACUGAUGAACGGCACCCUCAGUUUUCUCCUCAUCACUCUAGCAAUCAAUUGAACUUUGCAAAAGCCUCAAAUGUGAACUCUGCACUUUCGGUCCCAGAAUCUUACAGCCGCAUGAGCCAGAGUACUAACCUCGCUAGCCCUCGGAAUUACCCAUUUUCACUUGAGAAUGUUCCUGCUGGCCAUAACCAGUUAGCAACAAUGUCAACCAAUAACCCCUCGAACUCGGGUUCAGUAUAUCCAUUAUAUUACGGAACUCACCAUCAACCUGAAGAGUUCCAGGUCGGUCCUCAGGUCCCAGAAAGUACAUAUUCUAGGACCAUACAUGUCGGCACACCAAUUGUUACAUCAGUGAUGGAACCUACCAAGCAGAACCUUUUCUCCUCCCAAGGUGCUGAAAAUGUGUCACACAGAUUCACAGAAGUCAUGGACACCCAGGAGAAGCCACGGGAAAUUGAAUGUGAUUUAUCGUUGACGUUGGGUCCUGUUGUCCACCCAUGCACUCGAAGAAGCUUGGCCAGUGGAAUGGAAGAUAUUGGGUCGAGCAAUUCUCAAGACGGGGGAAAGUUAAAUGAUUUUUCACCAUUGAGAAGCAAGGAAAUCUGUUUCUUUCCCACAAAGACUGCUUAUGAUCGCUUUGAGUCCACUUCCAGUAUGUGGAAUUCAGAGAGCGGUCGGAGUUCUGAGGCAACUGUAAGGAAGCGCAAGGCACCAUUUAGUAGCAAUGAGGAGGAUAGGCAAUAUUGCUGGCAACCAGAUGUCGUUCCCAACAGGUUCACUGGUCGAACUACAGGGCCUGGUUUGUAGACUCUUUCCCUACAGUAGUAUAUAUGCUUCAAAAUCCAAGAUGCCAAUAUAUUGUUGAAUCCUCUUAUGAGAGGCUCUUCUUAUGUAACUCUGCUUGCAAAAUUUCACAAGUUGAUGUGAGUUGCUAGUUGCAUUAGUGGAAAGAUGUGAGUCGUAAAUGAAACCUGAGUUUGAUUCAUAUCGUAUGAACAAUGUCCUGGUAUCAUGGCUAAAGCAUGAAACAUCAUAUACUUCCAAAUCACUAACGCUACAUUGCUUAGACUUAUAGAGUUGAGCGAAAAAGACAGAAAUAAGUGUUGUGGGUAGAAGGUAUGAGAGCUAUGUGGUAUUGUGGAACGGGCCUUAUCCGGCUCUGUUGUGUUACAGAUUUCAAGAGCAAUUAUGUUCCCUUUGUCUUCGUGUAUGAUUGAUUAUAGCCUUGCCUGAUCAAUGGUUGAACUCUUUGAAGGAUCUGUAAAGAAACGCCCUUUCUGGCUGGAACGGUGUGUCGAGGGUUCUUAUGAUACAAUGUCGAAUCUGCUUAAUUACGAGAGUACCUUUUUUAUUUUAUGUAGCUAUGAUUGUCAUAAUCUGUUGGUGCUUGGAGUGGUAAUGUUGUGCUCGAGUGUAAUGUACCACUCCGAAGGGAAUUGUAAUGUACUAUGACGAUUUGAAACAAAAAGUAUUAGUAAAAACACACCUAUCGAAGAAAAAUCGCGAGUCGAUUAUAACAUAAGUGAAGGUUGAAACUGUGUCGAACUAUUACGUAGCACAAGUAGAAGGAGUGAGAAUUAACAUGUAAUUAAGUGAAGAAAGAAAUGAUUACAAACCAAAAUAAAAAGAAGAAAGAAUUGACGUAUUCCGGAGAUCAUGACCUCAAUUAAAAAGCCAACGGUACUUCUCAGUGAGGAAGCAUGGGAGGCCGGUGGAGGAGCGGAAGCAGGAGAGUAGGCGUUGGUUGAUCCGACGGUGAGAGUGACCUUUUGGUCCCACUCGCGGUUCUCACCAACGGAAGAGAUGAAGUAGCGAAAACCAUUAGAAAGAAGAUCUACAUACACCGGGCUGCUGGUCAUGAUUAAAUCCGUCUAGUUCACCUAAGCUUUUCACCCGUCGUCUGACUAACGCUUAACGUUUUAGAACAUUGGUUGAUACACAAAACAUUGAUAGGUAACAUUUCAGUAGCAAAACGUUUUGAAAUGUUAUUGAAACUCAUUGAGGUUGUCUCAAUCUGGAAUGUCUUCAAAGCAGCUCAUAUUCAUGAGUUGUACAUUGACUAGACAAGUAGACAUUUCACUUGGACUUUAGACGUACGAUGUUGUCUUUUCCUCCUGGUUUUUACUUUUUAACGAGGAUAGAGGACCGAAGAAAAUAUCUGUAUUCCGUAGGUGUAGGAGAUUUUAGUCCUCGUGCGAUUACGUUUAUUGGCACCUGACUUUUUCGUAAGUUCACCAUCAUUUUGUUUGUACUCAAGUUUGAACUUUCUUUUCUUUUUUGUUAGUUAAGUUAACUAGAUCAACAUGUUUCACAUCUUUGCAUUCAAAUUCGAGUUUUUUUCUUUAUGUAACUUAAAAAUAAUUUAGUAUAGACUACUACUUGGAAGAAAAAAAUUAUUGUUAUUUAUCUCCAAAUUUUGGAUCAAAAGAAUUGUCCACUAUAAGGUUUGAUUACAUUUUAUCAUAAAAAAAUUAUUGAAUAAAUGAACAUUUAUUGUAAUAUAGCUUAUUUUUAUAAAUAAAAUAGAGGAUUAAACGAUAUUAAUUCUCGGAAAUGACUGCUAAGCUUAAGCGACGAAGGAAGCUACUGCUACUAGUGCGGAGAUGAGCCCAACGAAAGAACCAAGAGUGGUGGUAGUGAGAGAUGAAGCAUGGGAGGAUGAUGGUGGAGGAGCCAACAGAGAAGAGGUGGUGGUUGGUGAUCCAACGGUGAUGGUGACUUUUUGGCCUUGCUCGCAGUGGUUACCAACGGUGCAGAUGAAGAAGCGAGAACCGGUAGAUUUGAGUUCCGUACUCACCCCUGGUCCCAGUACGAUCCCAGGGUCACUGCAGUUGUCAUAUUCUUCUUUUGAUGCUACUUCCCCCACAUUAUGUUCCCACUUUUCAGUCCAGUUGAACACUGUAAUGCCAAAAAUUCACAAUAAUAAGUUAACAACAAAGAUAUAUGCACAUUCAUGAACUCGGACGCAAGAGCCGUGAAUAGUCAAUUGGCCUAAUUCACGUAUGUUUAGAUUAAUAAGAAAGAUAUACAAAUAUUCCUAUGAACCUGGACGCGAGAGCUGGGAACAAUCGUCAGCUAAUCUAACUCGUGUAUGCUUGUUACUGGGAAUGAAAGCGCACUUACCAACUGUAUCUCCUAUUUGGAAUGUCUUUGAGGCGGCCCAGUCGGAGUAAAAGGAGGUGUUUGGGGGAACAGUCCAGCCCAAGCUGUCACCUACUACGUACUCUACUGCUGUUGCACCCUUCAAAUUCAACAAAGAAGGGCAAGCCACCGCCAUAACCACCAAGCAAGCAAUCAUCAUAUUCAUAUCUUUGCGGCCGCCCAUUUCCCUACGCCUGAUGAAGAUUUCGAUCGACGUACGUGUUUUCUGCAAGUACUUUUCUUCAAUAUGAAUUAUGUAGACAAGUGUGUUUUGUGUUGUGUUGGAACGAGUUGGAGCUCAUCAAAUAAAGUUGGGUUGAUAUUUAUAGGCGAUGGAGGCUGAAGAGUGAAGCCAAAACACGAACUCUUCAUCAAAACACGCAUGCGUACGAUUUAUGAACUCAAUUUUGUAAUAAAAUUAAGCAUCUAUGUUGUGUGCGUGGCGGGAAACCUUCAAAACUUUGAACAAGUUGAAUUCAACCCUGCAUUGCCUGGUGAUUUUGAUGCAUUCUAAAAGAUAAAGAAGAAAGAAAUUACCAAGUUUUACCAGUCCUCAUCGUCCCAGCGUCAAAGACGUACGGUUUGAUUACGUGACGCCCUUGGAGUCCCACACACGACCUGGUCUAUGAAUCGAUGAUUUCUUCUUUUUAACUUCUAGUUCUCAAAAACAAUAGUAUCCUUACUCUGUCGUGCGACGCUACAUGCCACAUUCCGCCCGGGCCCCACCACAUCCGAGUUCGAUUCCGUCGUAGUGCGAUAUUGUCCAUUUUAGGAUCCAACCACGCCCUCACGGUUUUGUUUCUAGGAACUCUCACGAGAACUUCCCAGUGGGUCACCCAUCAUGAGAUGGCUCUCGCGCGAACUCGCUUAACUUUGAAAUUCCAAUAGAACCCGAAGCCAGUGAGCUCUCAAAAAACCUCGUGUUAGGUAGAGAUUGGAAUAUACAUAUAAGGCUUACAAGAUCCACUCUCUUGGACGAUGUGAGAUGUUACAAUCCACCCCCUUAGGGGCCCAACGUCCUCGUCGGCACACUUCCGACCAGGGAUUGUCUCUAAUACCAAAUUAUCACAUCCUGGUCCGGGCUCCCACCACAUCCCGGACUCGACUCCGCCGUAGCACAAUAUUGUCCGUUUUGGGCCAUGACCACGCCCGACCCAAAUUGAGGUGUGCUGGCCGUCAUGUGAGGAUGACGUAGCCAUAUGCGCGCCUCGAUUUGGGUCGGGAUGUGUCACUACAUGCUUGCUAUACUUUGAAUUAUAACCUUGAUGUUUACUUAUAUUAUAACACGCAACUCUAACCCCAAUCCCGCUCAACUGAAAGUUAUCUGGAAGAGAAGGAAGCAAAAUAAAAAGAGAAAACAGGUUACAUGAACAAUUGUGAAAGAUGUGUAAGACGAAAAAGCCAAAAUAGCCAAUUCGAGAACAAGUCAAAGAAAAACAUUUCCCAUGCUGCAAGCUGUUUCCAUAACCUGCGAUUGGUAUUCAGACAUGUCCUGGUCUAAAAAAGACUCUAAUUAAGCUGACUGCUGAGUUCAAGUGAGGUACGCAAAAGAGAAUGUUCUUCCACCUUCAAAUGUUUACAUUACCCUUGUCCCAAACUGGUGACAAAGCUACCUUACCGACUUUUUGUUGGAGCAAUAUUAGAAAAUAUGAAAAAUAACAAUAUAAUUUCAACGAUAAUAAUCAUAAAGAAGUUCACAACAUCAAUUAUAUAUGAGAUUAAUAUAAACAACUAUAGAGAAAGUUAUAAAAAACUGACAAACUUGGAGAUUGAGGCUUGCACAAAUGCAAUAUCCUAAAGAUAGAAUUUUGCCCCUACUCUUAUACUUGUAGUUCGGUAGGUGUCUGUCUCCCAGGAUUCAACAAUCUAUAAUCCGAAGUCAAAGCACUUCAAUCUUCGGACUCUGGCGAACUUCAUAUAUUCCGUACUCUCAAGACAUGACUCAGAAUUUUACCAAGACAUUGGAGAAAACUACUCUCUUCGGUCCAUUAGAUAUGUGAGAUGUUUGAGUUUAUAUAGAACUCAAGCCACCCCUUUUGAUAUAUUGUGACUAUUGCCUAAAGUUCCAACGAUGAAUUUGAAUUCAAUUAUGACACAUGUAGAUCCCAUUUCUUACCUUUUUUUAAUAGAGAAUAAUAAUUAUAGAGCAAUCCUACACUUACCAUAUAUUUUUAUCAUUAUUUAUAUCAUCUCACUAAUAGAGGCAGAACCCAAAAAACACAUGUAGAUCUCAUUUCUAUUAGAGAAAUGAUACAAAUAGAUGGUAAGAAUAACAUUUUUGAUAUGUUUAUAUGUAUAUGAGAGUUUUAGGUAAUAUUUUGGUGGGAUAGGUAGAGACUUAAAAAGAGAAACAAAGAUAAUAUAUAUAUAUAACGUUUUUUUUUAAGAAAAGGAUAAUAUCACGUUAAAAAAAAAAAAACAAAGGGUAAUAAAUGUUAGCAAAAGUGAAGUUGGUUUAAAGAGAGAAAAAAAAUAAGAUAGAGAAAACAAAAACUCAGCCAAAAAAAAAAAACCACUCAUGCAAACAACGUUGUUUUCUUCUUCUUCAUUGUGCCACUAGCUCUACAUUAAAAAAAAAAACUUAGAUUUCAACUUAGUUCGCCGCAUUAGCCCGUGCGCCUAGCCCCGCCUAAUCUUGCCUAGACCCGCUUAGACCUGCCUAACCCUACCUAAAUCCAUCUAGUCAUGCCCAACCGUCUGUCUCAUAAGCUUUUUAAUUUGUGGCCAAUUAGGAUGAAUCGCAGCUAGAUGGCAACCUAGAUCGCUUUUUAGAACAUUGGUCUGACACUAUCACCAUUGCCGCCACCAAACUCCACUUCAACUUUACCACCUAUUGCCACCACUUUUUUUAAUUGUCAUCUCCACCAUAGUCAUGUCUUUCUUCUUUAGUACUUACAUCUAAAUAUUAACUCUAAAUCUACCUCCAGGCAUAUAUAUAUACAUAUACAUACACACACACACAUAUAUAUAUAACAUGUGUGUUUUUUUGUGUAUUUUUUCAUAUCAAUAAUAAUAUUUGUAUCACAUAUAUAUAAAAUCUAUGACCACCUCUAUUAGAAGGUGAUCAACAAUAACACAUGGUGAUGUGUGAUUAGUUUAAAAUAUAGAAAAGUAGAUUCGCUUAUUUGGACAUAAACAUAAUUUAGUUAAGGGAAAUUUUAUGUGAACCCGUAUAACCUCUUUCUACACCCAACUUAAACUUUAAUUUUAAUUGUCUUUUUUACUCUAUUGCAUAAUUACUAUCAAGUGCGAAAUGAAAUUAACAAUAAAACUAAAAUUUAUCAAUAAACCCACUCUAUAAUUAAACUCUACCAUCAGCCUUUAUUUCAUCCAAAUAAUCCAUGUAAUGGUUUCAUCCGGUCUUCUAGUGCAAACACGGUUCAUUCGUUUGAUUAAAUCACUGCAGAUACAGUACCAAGGGUGAGACAUGAUUCAUUCUAAGCCAUGAAACUAGUUACCAUUGAAACUUCAUCUACUUCUGGUAUGGAUAGAUUAUAUGAAACUUCCUCUGAGAAGCCCUUUAAUAAUUGAUAAAGCCAUUUCAGAUGUGAAAGAGUAACAAUACCUAAUUACUGAACUAAAGUUAAUAAACGAAUGGGAGACAGAGAGCUAGAGAAUGAGAGAGAUUUUAAACCAUGGAGAAAAUGGCCAUGCUACAGUAGGUGGUUUGAUUUCAACUUUGAUGAGCUCCCUCCAAAAAAAAAAACCCAGUGCAUGGUUUUUAUAGUUUCACAAUUUAUUUUGGUGAAACAGAAAAAGAAAUAUUAUUAAUUGGUAACCCUAUUAUAAUAUGAUUGCAAGGACGAUCAUAUUGCGUAGAUUAUAUGAAUUUGUUCAUUUUUUCAUAGUCAUUUGAAAUGGACUUCUGUUUGCAAAUUUGGGAUUUGUAUUUUCUAAAUGGGUGUAGAGAUAAAUUUAUAAAUUGAAUUGAGUUUGUGAGGGUAGUUUAGGUAGUAAAUUUGGGUUUAAAGAGAUAUGAUAGUUUAAUUAAAAGUAAUGUGGGUGAAAAGAGUAUGUUGGGUGUAGAAAGAUGAUACAUGGGUUCAAAUAAAAUUUCUAAAUGAAAGGGAAUGUUUAAUUCCACAAAAGAAGUAUUUUAUUUUUUUACGAUGACACACCCCGACCCGGAAUGUCCACUUGGACUUUGAAUCGAGCUAUGAUGGCCGAUACCUGGAAGGUGAUGAAGCCAUAAAGUGUAGUGUGGUGGAAUAUGUGAAUAAAUUUAAACCUAAAAGUACCUAAAUAUAAGAGUGCGCUGUGAGCAGGAAUGAGCUCAUUUCAUAAGUGAUGUCAGAGCAUAAGUACAGUACAAUAAGAUAGGGUGAGAAUUAUACCAUCGAAGGUAAUCGUCUACACCAAUAUUUACCAAGAAUCCUUGUUGAUAAGAAAGCUCAGCUACUAAAACUUGGAAAGGCGAAAAACAAGGGUGAGUGGGCCUGAAAAUAAAGUUUUAAUAAAAACCUUUGAAAAUGUUAUAACCCCUAGCCGUAAAACAUGUAUAGUUUCCAAGAUAUACAUACUACAAAUAAUAUGAAAAUACUCACCGUAGCUUGCAAAAUAUUAAGAUAUCAAUACGGCAUAAUAGUUCAUAUAUAAGUACAUGACGUCAGUAAUCGUAUACUUUCGCAUAAGCAAACAUAUUAAACAAGUGCUCAUCGACACAUGCUGACACACGAGUUCAUGCAGAGUUAUUCUAACAUGAACAGGAAUGGGUGUACUAAUGAUAUACGCUAUAAUGUUACAAUCACGUGAAGACUGACGUUAUUCGCUGUCACAUACGAGUUAGAGUUGCCUAUUACAACCUGUACGACAGGACUGGCACCUACUUGGAUCUAAGGCGAGCGUGCGGUGUGGAUGUGAACAUACACGUGAAAGAUUGGCCCUGGCCCCGGACGAGCACUAACAUCGGGUGCAGCAAACAAUGAGUAUAAAACAUAAAUAUAAUCAUGCCAUAGUGGUUCAAUAGUUCUAAUCAACAUAAUAUCAUUCAUAGCCGUAGGUAUAAUGAUAACAUCAAUAAACAUACGCAUAUUUGUGCAUCCUGUAAGAUGUAGUAUAUUUAGUAAUUUCCAUCAUCAUGCUAAAACUUAUAAGCAUUCUGCUAAACUAGGCGUUUUGUAGGGAACUCUUUAUGACAUGCAUAAAUGGAAACUAACAGUUAUAUAUAUAUAUAAAAGAAAAGACCCACUCACCUGAAGUCCCCACUACAACUCCCUACCACGAAUAUCGAGGCAUCACGAACGAUCGUCGCCUAGAACAAAUAUCAAAUUACGUCUUAGAAUUCUUAUCAAUAGAAUACAUAACUUACAUAAAACACAUCCCCAAGGACGUUCUAGAGUGAUUUGAAACCCAUUAAACAAAAGUCAACAAUCAAGGUUGACAGUAGGGUAUACAACUCUACGUAACUCAAUCUAGAAUAUCUACACCAUGGAUUUCCAAUUCGUAACUUCCCAAGGGUUUCAAUAAGCUUCUAGAACAACAUCCUAAAGUUUCGGAACGAUCCAACAGUCGGAUCUUCGCCAAUUGCUAAAAUUAAGUAGCGGCCGACGUUUUGAUUUACAAACUUAGAAAACCCAUCCGGGAAGAUCCAUACGUCAGAUUCCCAAUCCAUUAGUUCCUAAUAUCCUUAAAUAUUAUGUACUAUUACGUAUUAAAGUGUGGUGACGAUCCAAUGGUCGGAUCGUCGAAUCAUAUAAUAACCAAGUGGCGGUCCUUAACGGAAAUAUAACCAAACAACGGAAUUCGGUCAAUCGGAUGCCUAAAAUGGAAUCGGGGCACCCAUUUUAGCCUAGGGAGGUCAAGUGGUGUCUCUGCCUGCGCACCGCCCCUACUCGCUGGAAAAUUCAACUAUUUCAAAAAAUUCUCAAAUUUUACAGAAAUGAAGAUCUCAAUGAGGAGGGAAAUUUUUAUACCUGUGGCCAAAUCCAAUUUGGUAGGGAAAAACUCCAAUUUCUCUCAAACUCGCCGAAAACCCUAGAAAUGGGUGGCUUCGAUCCGUCACCUCCGGUGCUCUGUCGUCCCCAAACCUAUUUGGGCUUUGUUCCUGACCUUUAGAGGAGUGUUUUGGUGGUGUUAAUUGAUUGAAAUCGUUUCACAAAUGGUGGAUUUCGGGCAAAGUUUCCGACGACACCCACAGUGGGUUUUUCACCAAACUACAACUAAAUUUCUUUUGAUUUUGGGUGGAAAUGGUAAAUGGGAGGUUGGGUAGGUGUUUGGUAGGGAUGGUAGGCCAUGAAUCACUGGAAAAAUAGUGAAAGUUGGGCGGAAUUACACCGGUCGAAAUCGGGUUGGGGGUAUGGGUGUACGGGUUCGGUUUGGGUGUUCUGCACCUCUCUCCUUUCCCCUCCUUUCCUUCUUUUCUGAUUCAUUCCUCACUUCUUUCUCUCCUCCUCAUUGGCCGCCCAUUUCCCCUCUUUCUCUCCUAAUUGGGCGAACCGUCCACCCCCAUCUCUUUUUUCCUUCUUCCUCUCAUCCGCCCCUCACCCUCAUUUCUAAUAUUAAAAUAAUAAUAUAAUAAUUAUGAGAAAUAUAUAAAAUAAUAAAUAGUAAUCUUUACAAAAGUACUUUUCAGAUUUGUAGUUCCGUAAAAUUUUAAUUGUAACUCCAAAUUUGCUUCCUCUUGUGCCUACACGUCUGUAUCGUCGCGUACUUCAAGAAUACAAUAAAAUAAUAACCCAUACGCUUCACGAAAUGACGGUUAACUGAAGUCAACGAUCUCGCCUCUAAGGGCAUUUUCGUCAAUUUACUCAUUUACAAUUUAUAAAAACAUAAAAUUAGGGCCGGGUUAUCACAUACGAGGUACAACUAUAAAUUCCUAUUUAUUUGUUGCUAAAUCGACCAUAGACCAAUUCCCUUUUUACUUGGGAGUACUAAAUACGCCCAUAAUUUUGAGUUUCAUGUUACUCCUACCAAGAGACAUGUCAUAUCACUCAAUUCUAUUUUGAGAUGGGUAAUGCUAGAGAGACUAAAUUUGUAGAGUAAAUUUUGUAAACUAAAUGACAUGAAAGUUGAUGAUUGAAUUAUUACUUAAGUGUUGAUUAACGGGCUUAUUACUUAUUGGCGACUCGUCAUUUAGUUUGCAAAUUUAGUUUACAAAUUUAAUUUUUCUAGCAUUACCUUUUGAGAUUAAUACACAUCGACAUCGACCCUUCCUAUGUUCUUUGUGGCAGCCUCAUGGAAACAACUUCCCAUUUCAUGAACGACUGCUACUUUGCUCGAUGCCUUCACCAUGCAUAUCUUCCUAGUCCUCGUGCUCUCCCAUCAUGGAUUAAGUGACCAUCGCCCGUAGAUUCUUGCCUAAUGCAGACUUUGAUUGCUUCCUGGCACUGGCGGAGGCACGUAAGGACUACAAUAGUCCUAGGCCUACCCUAACUUUAAAAAAUAAGAUUAGUAUUACACAUAUUUUUAUUGCUUUUCAACCCUCCUCAACAACUAAAAGAAAUUCAAUCAUUAUCUAUUUUUCAUCCAAUAGAUCCUAUAAAAAAAUUAAGUAUAUAUUUUAAAUGGUCAUUUAUCAUAGAUGGUGGUGCUAUCCAUAUACCAUUUUUUUACUUUCUUGUUUGGACCUGAUUUUACACUAUCGGCUCGAGUAAUCGACGUCCGUCGAAUGACAAGGUAGUUGAAAUGAUUCUCAAUUAUUAUUGAGAAAUAACGUUGUGAUUUUAAUCAUGAUAUUAUCUCUUAAUAAUAUAUUAAAUUGUUUAAACCUGAUAUUUGUCUAUAUCCCAAUUGAUUUGAACGCAUGGAAUAUUGGGAUAUGCGGCAACAGAUAAAUAUGGUGCCAAAUGGUAUAUGCUUUUGGAUGUGGCCACGUGAAUGUGCUUGUUGGGAUUUUAUCCCAUGUAACUUUGCAUGCAUAAGCACCACCUGGAUCAACAUGGUGGAAAUAUAGAAGGAAAACAUUGAUGUGAGGGCACGGUUUCCUAACUGAACUAGGAGAUAGUCUGAGGGCAUGGUUUCUUUUGAGGCAUGCAAAGGAUAAGGAAGAAAAAAAACAAAUGUUUUUUUGAAUAAUUGUGACAUAGAGUCAGAUGAUGAUGACAGCUAAAGGAUAGGCUCUUUCCUAUCUUGAGAAGUCUUUGACUGAAGUAUUGGCUGACGAGUUUGAAUUGAAAUCAAAUUCUACAAGUCUAGACCGUGCCGAGUGAAGCACAACUACUAUAAAUAUAGAGGCAAUGGUAACGGAAAAAGCCCCUUCCAAUUCAACACACAAACUGUCUUGCGCAAACCCUCGCUCUACGCGAAACCUCUCAACAACCUUGAGAUUUUUGUUUUCCUUUUUCGCCAACACAUCUUUAGUUUGGAUAAACAGCACUGUGAAGGCAACCGGCGAACAUCUUCAGUUUGGAUAAACAACACUGUUGCCGUAGAAUUAGCCGACUGUGAAGCACCUUCAGUUUGGAUAAACAGCAUUGCGAUAGGGCCGACUGGUUAUCUAUCCAAGUCUCGGUCAAGAAGGAUUUUCGAAUCCUUAUUGGCAAAUGUUAUCUCAUUAGCCUUCUCGGUGAAGUGAGGUGUUACAAGUUACUAAAUUCGGCACAUUUAAAGCCGAAUUUGAUAUUGAAUUUCGCAGAACUAGCAGCUUUGUCUUCAGGCUCUAGAACUCGAAUGCCGAGAUGUGUUCCUUCCUCAGCCGUAGUCGCAGGAUCAAGAAGUCAGCAACGCACCCAAUGCAACAUCAACAAAUUUUACUCCUCAGCCGAGCUUGGCACACCCCGCAUAUAUUUUAAAUGGUCAUUUAUCAUAGAUGGUGGUGCUAUCCAUAUACCAUUUUUUUACUUUCCACACACCUUCUGUUAAUUUAUGUUAUAUGAUUUUCUUUAAUUCAUUCGAUUCGAAUGCAAAAAAAUUGAGAGGAUUGUGCCGAAGGUAAAAAGAAGUGCGUGGAUAACAUCACCCUAUCACAAAUUAAUAACAUUUAAAUUAAAACCCAUCAUUUGCUUUUAAUUACAAAAAUCAUAUUUCACUUAUGAAGGGGCAAAGUUAUAUUCCCUAUUUUUAUUGAAUUUCAUAUAUUUAGCCAAUCCAAAGCUCAAGUUUAUUGAAUAAAGAACAAAAAGGUUUGUAAUACUCUAUUAUUCAAUACAAAACAUUUGUUUCUAUUCUAUCCCAUCUCUUACUCGAGUUUUAGGGUUUGCAAAUUUUUAUGUAACUCUCUUUAUUGAGUUUAAUAAUUCUUUCAAUAGUAUAGAUGACAUCAUGCAACGGUUUCAAAAUAUAAAAUUCAUCGAGGAUACUUAUGAUUACUAUGAAUAGAUAAAAUUAUCUAUGCAUAUGUUAAAUUUGAGUACUUAAUUAUUUGGAUAUAUAUUAUGAUGUUUUGCAUUAGUAAUUUUAUAACCACUAUUCGUUUUUUCUUCUUCUAUACUUGUGUGAGGCUUAUCCUCACAAGAAAUCCUGGCUCUGCCAUUGCUGGUUCUCAUCUGGGCUAUUUGAGGAGCUAGAAACUGAUUCUCCCAACCUAGUCGCUGCCAGAGCCAUUAAUUGGUGGCAGGAAUUUGUUAAAAACUUCUCCCACUUGGCGACUCCUUCCUAUGCUGGCACUUACCAAUGUUUGUCUAAACCAGUACGAUCCCUUAAGCUUAACAUUGACUAUGCGUGGCAUGAGGAUAUCAAGCUAGGAGUUGUUGUAGCUGUCUUUCGUAAUUUAGAUGGCAUGUUCGUUUAUGCAACGUCAGGUUUCUUUGACGAUAUGUUCUCGCCUCUUCAGGCGGAAGUCUUGGCGGCUAAAGAAGGUAUUACCUUCGCGGCUGCGAGGGGUUAUCAAAACUUUAUCCUUGAGAGCGAUUCGCUCCAGAUUGUCUCUGCCUUGCGAGAUCGAUCUAUCAACCUCUUGUCCAUUGUUAGGACUUGAAGGCAAUGCUAGACCAGAUCAUUGGAGUCUCAGUUACCCAUGUCCGCUGCCAUGGGCAAAGCUUCAUGGGAACAAGAAGGGGCGGCCACCCCUUCGGUCUUCGGAAAUCACCAUUGAAAGUGAAGAUUUCGCCCCUUUGGUCCUCUAAACUGCCGUCGAAGUCUGUUGCCCUACUUCGUUGUUUAUGUGUUUUAUGCUCCUGUACUUCUUUGGUUUUUUAUUUUAUUUUUAAAUACCCAGGCCAAAACGACGUUGUUUUAGUUCUAGGAUAAAAAAAAAAAACAUAGAACGGUGUUGUUAAGGAGGGAUACAGUAAGAUUGUCAUUAUUCAAGAGUUUGUUAAGUUGUUUGAUAGUAUGAAGGAAUUGGGUGUGUGGAGAAGUUUCAAACCCUAUGAGGCUCUAUUUAAGGCCAUUAUGCGCCACAAUUGGUAUAAUUGCCAAGAGGUAUUUUAAUGCAACGUUGAGUGAGGGAAUAAAACCUAGUAGGCAUACUUAUAAAUUAUAUGAAUCACAAGGUCAUGCCUACAAGGAGCUACUGUAGAGAGAAUCGAUAAAAAGAUACAUUGCAUCUCUUCCAUAACAUGAUAUCUGACUAUCUGAGUCAAAAGAUAAUGAUGAAAAGCCUGAUAAUUUCACCAUUCCCACUGCUCUGAAGGUGUGUGUGGGGUUAAAACACUCACAUAUGAGAAAAUAAUACAAGGGUUUGUGAAGAAACAUGACAAGGUUGAAAUGAAUAUGUUUGUGGGUUAUGCGUUGAUCUAAUUGUAUUCCAAAUGCGGAGAAAUGGGCGAGAUUGUGAAAGUUUUUGAUGAAUUUUCGAAUCCGAAUGUGGUUUUAUAGAGCGCGACAAAAAGAAGGUAGAAGUUUCUACCCUUUUAUAGCCCGACAAUUCAUGGCCUUGCCACCGGCCACCAAAGGAAACGAAGUGCACACCGACUUGCUCGAGCUGCCCUCACAUCAGGUGCUCUCCAUAAUUGUAACUGGUUUGUGGAAUUACCAUAUGUUGUUACUUGAUCUCUUGUUUGACGGAUCAUUUUGUAACCAGUCUUGUGACUUUCUGGCUUUAAUAAAAUCUCUGCCUCUUGUUUUCAAAUCCAUUUGACUAUCUUCUUAUGUUAAAAGGGUAAUGUUAGUGAGAUCAUAUUUUUAAACUAAAUUUGUAAAACAAAUGAUGUAUCAUCAAUAAAAAAAAAUGACAUUAAUUGAUACUUAGUUAAUAAUCGAAUCAUUUACAACCAUAUUAUUUGGUUUAAAAAUUUGAUACCCUUUAGCAUUUCUCAUAGAAGUAAUACGCGUUAAUCAUAGCAAAAGGUCGGUAUAUAGAUUGACCGAGUCAGAGUUUAUUGCCGGGUUGACUAAAGUUUGAACUGAGCACGACCAAACCCAUCUCAAUGGAGAGCUGGCCUUAAUUAAUUCAUUCAAAAAUUUGCUAAUAAAAUAAAAAACUUCCAACCCUGAACGGAAAAAUCAUUGUUUUAUUAAUAAUGAAAACUAUCAAUCAAAAGGAUGAACAUAAUUUCGAUAAUACAUGAAUAAAUACGAGGUAUUAAGUACACUUAAUUAAAGCUAUAGAAGAAGAUGGCCAUCGCAGUGGAGAGGAUUAGGGCACCAAUAUUAACGGUGAGAGAAGAAGAGGCGUUGUGGUCCCACCAGCGAUCAUCAUCUUCAGAAAUCUUGAUAGUCACCUUCUGCCCUAAAUCACUGCAGUGAUUACCUACGGUGCAGAUGAAGUAACGGGUCACGUUGGAAGUCAGUGUAAUACUUGCAGGGCUGGAAUCAUAAAAAGCAAGAUGGUUCGAAUUUGAGCAGUUAUCGUAAUCAGCCUUCGAUACUUCAGCUACUGUGUGUGAUCCACUCCACUUGAAUACUGCAAAAAGAUAUAAAUAAAUAAACAGAUGUUCAUCAAUCAAAAGGAGAAAUUUACUUUGCAGAAAGUCAUUUUAAAGGGUCGAUCUAGGUUCUACGUUGAAGAAAUAGAGAUUAAUUUUCUCGAUGCGUUGUCUGGAAAAACAUGACGUCUUGCACAGAGCUGAACUGAAUAAGAAAGAACUAACACUAACGAAGAUUUAGAGGACGAAAUUUUAAUUACCUAUUGUAUCAUUAUUCUGAAAUCUUUUUGUGUUAGCCCAGGUGGUGUAGGCAAUAGAGCCGGCUGGAGGAAUAGUCCAUUCCAAAUCGUCUCCGACUGUGUAAGUAUCAGCUGUGGCACCGUUGAACAAGGCCACUGCAACAAGAAGAAAGCACCCAACCAAUCCCAUACGACUCACCAUUUCUCUGCUGUGUGUUCUUCUUUACGUCGUCCCUGGCUAAAACCCCUAAUCUCUUCUUUUUCUCUUUGGAAAUUAUGUUUUUUGGUGGAUGAUGAAUCAAUCAUUUUAACGUCUACUACUUAUACAAAAGGGAAGGAUGACCAAAGGCUAUAGAAUUGAUUGUGUUUAACUUAUCGAAGGCGAGUUUCCUUGCUUUCAAAUAAGGCGACUGAAGACCAAAAGCUAUAUUGUGUUUAACAAUCUUUUUUGAAAAUGGACUACGAUAUUCAUUAAUAACGGAGGAAUACAUACAAACAAAGGAAAUGAUGCAUAUAAAGGGCUUUGAUAAAAACCUUGCCAGAGAUUUCAAUUCAGUCUGAGGAAAAAAGAGCAUAUCGCACCAACAUACUAAUUAGAAUUACCAUCCUCAAACAAAAUAUCUAAGAUAAUAUCUUGUGGUUCCUCAAACCACACAACGAGAUUGGUUACAUUCAAGCUAAAUCUUGCCAAACCAUGUGCGACCUUAUUAGUCUCGUGCUUGCUAAAGGAGACCAUCCCUCGGGGAAAAUUCAUCAUCAGACUUCGGGCAUCAUCCAACACAUGACCAAAUUGACCAACAUCUGUUGGACAUUCUAAAAAUAGUUGACGUGUUCUUUCUGGAAACAAAAGACCAAAAAUAUCUGUUGUGGAAUAUUGUACAAUUUAGGAAAAGUCACCAAUUUUGGGUUUAUACGAAAUAGGAGAAUUUUUUUCUAUGUAAGAAUAUUACGCGGCACACUAAGUAUUAUAAUACAAGUGAUUGGAUAUUUUAAUAUAAAAAAAUUCAACCAUAAAUAUUUUGACAGUUUGGUUAACCAGACAUUAUUUACGAUGCACUAAAAAAUCCCUCAUGAAAUACAAUCUUUUUGCUUUUUUAUUUUUUGGUUUUCUGAGUGCAAUUGAACAAAGCAACUAUAUAAGUUGUUCAUCGUUAUCUUGUUUUUCUACAUUUAGUAAUUAGAAUACAUAGUAAACUCCAUACGUUUCUACUUUCUAGUAUAUCGCCAAGAGACUAAAUUGUAAUGAGGCCAAAUGGAAAGGUAUGGGCAGGCAUCAUGGCCCAAGUCAUAUACUUUGACUUGAUGAGGUGCGUUUGUUUUGUUGCGACACAUUGUUAUAUUGCUUGGUCCAAGAUGGAUGUUAAAAUGAGAACGCAUAAUAUGACGAACGAAGAGUGACAAGCAAAAGCGAUCAAAAGGUAACCAAGAACAUAUAGAAGUUUGUAAACCGCCAGAAGGAUCGGAUUAACCUCAAAUUUUGUUUGAUUGAUGAUAUGAAGAUAACAACCGUAUUAGCAAAGCUAAAGUUGCUUUUAUAGCAAUUUUCCAUUGUGUUUUGGUAUGGGAAGAAAGUAUGAUACAUUUUUUGAAGUGUCAAUAACAGUUAGUCAUGUAAAUCUGAACAAUUUUAGUACAGACCGUUAUUUUUAUGUAUGGAUUAAUGAGUAUUUUUCAAUGCUUUACGAGCUACAAACUAGAUGUGAGCGAUUAAAGAAGUAGAAAAGAUUGAUCAACGAUUAAACAAGACUUGGUAGAAAUGCUAAAAACGAAGUUUUAUGGUCAUUUAAAAUUCCAUUUAAUUUUGAUAUUUGUUUUGUAGCUCUCUAGUCCAUCUUGGGUUACAAGGACACGAAACCAAGUUGGUGUUUCUGCUUUUUGCCACCGUCUUUUCAUAUUUGUUAGACGUCUCUUUCUAUUGAUUUAAUAAUGCAUGAACUGGAUUUGUUCUCACUUUUGACAACCAAGUCUGAAAGUAGGAAAUAUCUUACAAGAUAAGGGGCACUUGGCACCGUCUCAAACCCUAAUAUGUCAAUUUUUUAUCUUAUGGCAAACCAAACAAAUUAAGUCGUUGAAAGAGUCGGUAGAAAAUUUAAGUUUGAAGAAUAAGAUUGUAAUAUAACUGAGUUUUUAGUUCAAUUUGUUAGAAAUAUUCACCUCUGCAUCCGAGAUUUUGUUUUCAACACUUUAUAUAUAUAAAUAUAUUUCUUGUUAAAAGAAACAAACAACCUAUUUUAUUGUAUUCAAUCUCUCGAAUUUAAAUCUUAUAGACAAAAAUUGUUAAAAAAACUCAACAUUAAGUGAAUUUAUGUUUUAAAAAGCGAAGGGCAUGGGCGAAGCGUUUCAUGAAUACUAGUUCGGUAUGGGAUACCGAACCGAAACCCUUAUCCUAAUUCCCAAACUAAAGUUUUCGGGAAUUCCAAUUUUAAGACCGAUCUCAAACCAAAUUUUCGGAAAUCCCAAAUUUCGGGAAUCUCAAAAUAAUUUCUGGAUUUCGGGACAAAUCGGGAAUCCCAAAAUAAUUUGGGCUUUUGGAAGAAACAAGUAGAUGACUCAUAUACCUUUCUGUUCCAGGUUUAGUAGCCAUAGAAUUGUAAAUCAAAUGGUAGGCCUAUUAAACAUGCAUGCUGGAGGACAUUGCCAUCUCACAUUCUGGGCUUACGAAACAUUACCUGUUUUCGACCAUGGAGCAAAUUCUGCAGCUACCAAUAUGAUAUUCAUGACAUUAUGCCCAGCCAAAGGAGAGGGCUUUACGUCCUUACUCAUAAAACCAGUUGCCCCAUCAUUGACGACUCAGGGUUAGUAGGAAAAGAUGGCUAACCAUCAGACCACUCUGUCUUGGAACUAUCCUUACUCACAUGCUUACUGGACUCUAGUUCACUGGGAGACUUAUUAAACGGCAAGGCAUCUCCAUGAUCCUUUUCUAUUUCAUUAAGCCCUCCAUUAAGAGCAGAAGGCAUAGUCUCAAAAUCCCUUUCUUCAGUUGAAUGCUCAUAGCUGCUCGAAACAAUGCUGCCAAUUUGGUCAACACUAUUAUCAGCACUACUUGAAGAACUUUCCACAUUUUUCCACAUUCGAAAAUGAUUAUUCCCUUGUUCAAAAGAAACUUCCUCUUCUUCUUGGCUUAUACACUACUUUGUAUAGAAGAUACCAAUUUCCUAUUUCCUUCUUUCAGCAAUCUGCAAAACCCAAAUUUGCUAAUUCUACGCUUUCGACUCUCCUUAAUUACUAAAAACACAAAAGAUGGUGAAUGUCCAUUCUUCUGUCAAAGUAUGCUUAAGAAAGUACAGUAAUACGACACAUAACACAAUAAAUGCCUAAUAAGAAAUAGCUUGAUAUCUAGUGAAAAAUGACAUGCCUUGAUUCAUAAAUUUUACUUCAUCUAAUAGGAUACAGCUUACUCAUGGGCAUGAACAUCUCACUGACAUGACUCACAAAAAUCCCAAGAGCUCGGAGAGCUUAUUUUAGGACGACACAUGCAUCAUAUUAUUGAAACAUUGUAUUCAUCCAAGGGAAUGUUUCCCACACGUUUCAAGCAGUGGCCUUCAUUAAAAGAGAUUACACGGCAGUACCUGAAUUUUACAUCUUAAAACUAAUCCUGUGUCCAAGAUAUAGGCACAAUCCUAACAUACUGCAUAAUUCUUUACCAAUAUUGAUGCCAAUACUUCCACCAAAAACUGCAUAACACCUAUCCAUGUAUUAAAGCAAAUGGAGUUAUAUAUUAUAUGCCCCUAAACAUAUAAACUAACAACUAUGACACCAUCCAACUAAAAAUCACUACCUCGACUGCAGAAACUUAACAAGAACCCCCCAGAGAAACGUUGCAAGGGAAGUAAGGAUAAGACAUCUACUUGUUUCUUGUUAGGAAUGGGUAGAGAGAAAAACCAGUCUCGCCAUAUUAUAAAAUGGAAAGAAAGAGAAAUAAAAAAGGAUAAACCUGCAAAUUCUUGAUAAUUAUGGUCACAGCUGCUUCAGAUGCUCGCUUACAAUCCUGGAAUGAGGAGUCUCCAUAUGCCUAAUUGUGGAGAGCCCAACCACAAAGAAACAAGGCACAAUGUAAAUAAAACUCCAUAUCCGUUCCAAGUGCUAAAUUUCACAAACCCUAAUCUAGAAUUCGAACCCUAAACUAAAUUUCAAACCCUAAAUUAAUUCCAAAAUUUACCUGAUUUGAGAGAGAGCUCAGAGAGGUGAGUCACUUGUGAUGUGGGUGUGGCCGGAAUCGAAGAAGGAAAGAGAAAUCGGCGAGGAGGGUGGUGACGGUGAGGUUGUCUGAGGUGAGGUGAGAUCGAGCCGAGACUCGAGAGACAGAGAGAGACAGGGACUGAGUUCUCCGAGGGUUUGAACUUUGAUUUGUAUUCAACGGUUAAGAUUAAAUCUCAACCAAAUCUGACGGACGUUACAAUGCCAAAUAUAUAUUUAAAAUUAAAUAAUAAUGUGUGUAUAUAUAUAUGUUGUAAACAUUCCUAGAAUAAGUAUGAUUGUAUAAAUCCUAGAUUAGAUUUGAUUCUAGUUAUCCUUUCCUAUUACAACUUGUAUUACUUGGAGGAGAAGGAAUAUCUUAUCUCCCUUUACUACUAUAAAUAAAGGCACAAUGUAGGAGGGAUAACAACACACACAUUCCCCUACAAUUCUACAAACACACAUCUCUCUCCUCUCUCCCACUGCUGCCGGCACUCUCUAUUUUGUCAGAUAAAAAUAGACCACAACACGUUAUCAGCACGCUCCUACCGCUGCGCUUAGGAAUCUGACGUUGGAGAUUUUUUUUCUGCAUUAAACCAGUUCAUCCAUAUCAUCACGCAAUCAGGUUCUUUCCAAACAACGGAUUUUAACUUGAUAUUUUGCAAGCCCUGAUAGCAUGAACAUUCACCAUGAUGCAUGACCCAACUUUACGUUUAACGUAUUUUAGAUUCUACAUAAAUUGUGUAUGCUUCAUCACCAAAAUUGCUACAAUUAUGUGAAUUUGAUAUUUGCCAUGAAUUGAAUCUUACAUAUGUACAUGCAUUGAAACUAUUAUUUGCAUAUGCAUCAACGUAAAUAUGUGAUUCAUUAGAAUUAUACAUGCAUAUAAUAUAAUUGAAUUAAAAAAUAAAAAAAAUUUUGCGAUUGGGGAAUUAGGGUUCUUUGAACCCGUGCCUUUGCAUCACGCAAGGCUACAACGCAACCAGGCCCGCAGCUUGCGAUGGCUAGCCCAUCUUCUUGCAAGGCUUGCAGCCUGCAUCCCCAUGCUUUCCCGAGCCGAGAGCCGGACGCCCAUCGCGUCCCCAACAAACCAACCCCGACACUUUUCAUGGUGUCCAUUGGCCACGGCAUGGCCUGCAGCCAUUGCUUUGAACCUCUGGUUCACGUCGCCGACGACUAGAAGUCGUCCCACAUUUCAAAUUGAACUGAGAUUCACCGGAAUCUCGUCGGAUUUUUUUAAUUCAUUUCAAUUUUUUUAGGGUUUUCUAGUUGUUGAUACGUUGAGAUUUCCUUAUCUCCGUGGUUGUCCACGACAACCGUGACUCACUCUGAGCUCCAACAACCUCGACACGACCACCUGUAGUGGCUCCGUCCACAUUUUUCCGGUUUUCUUCCCUUGCCAAGCACACCCAGCACGGCUGGGAUUUUUUUUAGACCUUUCCCCGAGCCCUAUCCGGGCUCUGUCUCUCAGCCCCAUAUGGAAAAAACAAAUUUUUGCUGGGCUCGCUUGCAGCAGCCCAGCCCGCAAAGACAAAUUUUUUGGUUUGUUUGUUUAUUUUUUGGGCCAACCUGAAGUGGCCCGCGCGCGGAAAGGAAUUUUUUUUUGGGGGGUCUGCCUGCAGCAGCCCAUUCCCUUCUCACCCCGUGGGUCUACAGCCUACACCCGGGGAUUAUCGGCCUAUAUUUUUAAGCCCCGCGAUUUUAUUAUUUACUAUUUUUAAAUAAUAUGGGUUUUUAUAUUUUCACCCACACUUUAAUUUUGCCCCGAAGACCAAAUAAAUUAAUUCAAUUAUAAUUAUACAAUAUUUUUUGCAUAUACUUGUUGCAUAUUUGUUUGCAUAUAUAUUUGUGUUUGCCUGUAGGAAUAUAUGAACCUGAAGUUCAUAAUUACUUUGAAACCUGAAGUUUCUUAUAAACAUGCCUUGUUUGAAAACCUGAAGUUUUCUCUUAAACAUAUCACCCAUGAAAACCCGAAGUUUUUCAUGCAAAAUUAAACCAAUACAUGUCUAUUAGAACCUGUAUGUUCUACUCCUAUGUGAAUGGAUUGAUUUUUCUCCAUUACACUAACCACAUCUUGUCCAUCUAUUUGUGAUCGGAACAUGUCGAAUUUGAACAAACUCGACUUCACCGCUUUGGAGGUCUCUGGAAGGAACUACCUCAAGUGGGUUCAAGAUGUGAAGCUCCACCUCACUGCCAAAAACUUGCGUCCUGCUAUUGAAGAAGCAACAACUGAACCUGUUGGCGAAGCUAAAAAAGCCACUGUUAUGAUCUUCAUCCGAAGACAUAUUCAUGACGCUCUGCAAACUGAGUACCUUGAUGAGGAGGAUCCACGUGCAUUAUGGGUCGCUUUGGCUGAUCGUUUCGAUCACCAAAAGGACAUAUUCUUGCCUGAAGCAAGACACGACUGGCAGUACUUGCGCUUCCAAGACUUUAAGUCUGUGAAUGAAUAUAAUUCUGAAGUUUGUCGAAUCCGAUCACUUCUCAAGUUUUGCAAUGAAACUUUGACUGAAGAGGAUCUCCUAGAGAAGACCUACUCGACCUUCUCUGCUUCUAAUAUUGUCCUGCAGCAACAAUAUAGAGCUCAGAAGUUCACUAAGUUCUCGGAUUUGAUCUCUGUUUUACUUCUUGCUGAAAAGCAGAACCAGCUGUUUAUGAAGAAUCAUCAAGCUCGACCUACUGGGGCUACUGUUGUGCCUGAAGCACAUUAUAGCACUAAUCAGCACCCAAAACACCAAAAGAGGCGUGGUAAGGGCGGCCAGAAGCCAUCCCACCAAGGUCAACAUAGUCAAGGCUUAUCCAAGGGAGGAUACAAAGCCCAGAAGCGUCCAAACCUCGCUCCCAAGGCCCCGAACUUCAAGAAUAAGGGCAAAGCACUUGCCAUAAUGAAUGACGAUAUGCGCUAUCGUUGUGGUUCAAAGGACCAUUGGUCCCGUAUUUGCCGUGCUCCCAAGAAGGUUGUAGAUGAAUAUCAUUCUCGUCGUAAGAAGUUUGAAUCAAACUUCAUGCAAGUGGACGAACCGGAGACUACAAAGAUUGAGGUUUCUGACUUUCAGGAGGAUACCACUCUUAUGGAAGAUUAGAAUCUUAGACAUAGACUUCUUUUUUAGUUGAAAUAAGACAAUUGGGGCCGAAUUCCACCUAGUGGCCGCACCCCACCUUGUUUUUGGUUGAUUUUGAACAAUUUUCCUUUAUGUUUUUGGAUUAUUAGUUGGCGAUUUAUUUUGGAUAUUCAAUUUUAAUCCUUGAAUAAAUGAAAUUAUUUUGAAUUGAUACUUGUUUUUAUAAACUUUUAUGCAUGUGACCAAUUCAAAUUAAUUUUUCAUUCUAGGUAUGACUAGUGGGAAAGUUAGUUGUCUGGCAGAUAGUGCAACCACGCAUACUGUUUUGCGUGAACGCAUCUAUUUCACUAACUUCGUACCUAAGAAUGCACCUCUGACAACCCUCUCAGGCCCAUCCAACCUGAUAGAAGGAUACGGUAAGGCACAUAUAAUGUUGUCCAAUGGUACAAUCUUGACCAUUGCUGAGGCACUCUAUUCUCCACGUUCCGGAAGAACGUUACUAAGUUUCAAGGACAUUAGAGAUAACAAUUACCACGCUGAAACCUACGUAGAAAAAGAAGUUGAAUUUUUGUGCGUAACUUCCUACGAAUAUGACCAGAAGCGUAUUCUAGAGAAGAUUGAGCGUAACCCGAAUGGUCUGUAUACUACGACCAUACGCCCCAUCGAAUACCACUAUGUGGCCGGCCCUACCACAGGGACCGUGCAUGAAAUUACACUUUGGCAUGAUCGUUUGGGACAUCCUGGACGAAUAGCGAUGCGCCGUAUCCUCAAAACUUCACACCGGCAUCCACUAACCCAAAGCUUAGGUUCGAUCCAUGAAAUCGCAUGUCAAACAUGUUCUAUGGGAAAACUUAUUACUAAGCCUUCUUAUGACAAUAUUCGUUCGAAUCCUCCCAUUUUUCUACAACAGAUUCAGGGGGACAUUUGUGGACCGAUUCAACCUCCCUGCGGACCAUUUAGAUAUUUUAUGGUUUUGGUUGACGCUUCUACACGUUGGUCACACGUGUGCUUAUUGUCCACAAGGAACGCUGCAUUCUCCAAACUGUUGGCUCAGGUUAUCAAGCUUAGGGCUCACCACUCUGAUUAUCCGAUCAAAUCUAUUCGAUUGGAUAAUGCUGGAGAAUUCACAUCUAAAACUUUUGAUGACUAUUGCAUGUCGGUUGGGGUUGAAGUUGAACAUCUUGUACCCCAUGUUCACACCCAGAACGGCCUGGCAGAGGCUUUCAUUAAGCGUUUACAAAUGAUUGCUCGAUCAUUGGUCAUACGUACCAAGCUCCCGAUCGCUGCUUGGGGCCAUGCAAUAUUGCACGCAGCAAAGUUGGUCCGCCUGAGACAUGUUGCGACACAACCAUUUAGUGCCCUUCAGUUGGUCACCGGAUGAGAACCCGACAUAUCGCAUCUGCGCGUUUUUGGUUGUGCGGUCUAUGUGCCGAUUUCGCCGCCCUUACGUACAAAAAUGGGGCCUCAACGAAGGAUGGGAAUCUAUGUCAGAUAUGAUUCUCCUUCGAUUAUUCUUUACUUAGAACCUUUGAAAGACGAUCUGUUUACCGCUCGUUUCGCAGAUUGUCACUUCUAUGAGACAGUCUUCCCGCCGUUAGGGGGAGAUAAGAACGUCAACGUUCCUAAUGAACGACGUGAAUUAUCGUGGACGACUCCCACUUUGUCUCAUUUAGAUCCCCGCACCGCUCAGUUUGAAGCUGAAGUGCAGCGCAUAUUAGAUCUCCAGAGCAUAGCUCAGAGCAUGCCAGAUGCUUUCACCGAUCUAGCACGAGUGAUAAGAUCACAUAUUCCAGCUGCGAAUACGCCUGCAAAGAUAGAUGUACCAAAUGUACGACGGACUACCCUCCUGGAAGCCUGGGACGCCAAUUCUGGUGAUCCACGUACAUUAGCGGUUAGCCAAUCAUCUGCCCCUACACAAAAACGUGGCAGACCCCUUGGUUCAAAGGAUUCACACCCCCAGAAGAGGAAAACCACGGCACAAGGUCCUGAAGAGCCUACUGUGAAUCCGACUAUCGCUUACUCAUUUUACCCAACUCAUGAGGAAAUUCUAGAUUAUGGAAGCGUCCUUGAAGAGAUGAAUCCUCCUCCCGAAUCGUGAGAUUUCGGUCUAUUAUGCUAGCUUAGAUGAUGUGUGGCGUAGAAAUGAGAUGAUUGUCGACGAUGCAUUAGCAUUUGCAGUAGCUACUGAGAUCAUGUUGAGCGAUGACAUUGAACCGCGUUUCGUUGAUGAAUGUCGACGUAGAGCUGAUUGGUCAAACUAGAAACAAGCAAUCCAAGUCGAACUUGAUUCACUUGCGAAACGUAAGGUGUUUGGACCUGUAGUUCUUACCCCUCCACAUGUGAAGCCCGUUGGCUACAAGUGGGUUUUCGUUCGGAAGCGUAAUGAGAAGAACGAAAUUGUGCGUUACAAAGCUCGUCUUGUAGCACAAGUUUUCUCACAACGCCCCGAGAUUGACUAUGACGAAACUUACUCACCCGCUAUGGAUGUGAUUACUUUUCGAUACCUUAUCAGUUUGGUAGUUUCCGAAAAACUGGAUAUGCAGCUGAUAGACGUAGUAACCGCGUAUCUCUAUAGGGAUCUUGGUACGAAAAUUUAUAUGAAAGUUCCCGAAUGACUUACAUUGACUGGUUCAAAUAUUUCCAAACCCCGGAACACGCUCUUAAUUCGGCUGAGGCGUUCACUAUACUGUUUGAAACAAUCCGGAAGAAUGUGGUAUAACCGUCUGAGUGAGUAUUUGACUAGUCAGGGAUAUGUGAACAACGAACUAUGCCCUUGUGUGUUCAUUAAGAAGUCACAUUCUGGAUUUGCGAUUGUUGCAGUAUAUGUCGAUGACAUGAAUCUCAUCGGAACUCCUGAAGAGCUCGCGAGAACUGUUUCGCACCUGAAGUCGGAAUUUGAGAUGAAAGAUCUAGGAAAGACUCGAUGCUGUCUCGGUCUCGAGAUAGAGCAUUGUUCGGAUGGAAUCUUAGUACAUCAAUCGAACUACACCCAGAAGGUGUUGCGCCGUUUUAAUAAGGAUAAAGCGAAGUCUUCGAGUACUCCUAUGGUCGUUCGUACGCUAGAUGCAAAGCAAGAUCCCUUCCGUCCAAAGGAAGAUGAUGAAGAUUUUGGAGCCUGAAGUUCCUUAUCUAAGUGCGAUAGGCGCUUUAUUGUACUUAGCUCAAUGCACUAGACCCGACAUCUCAUUCGCUGUUAAUCUUUUGGCAAGAUACAACAAUGCACCAACACGCAGACAUUGGACUGGCGUGAAAGACAUCUUCCGUUACCUUAAGGGUACUACGAAUUUGGGCUUAUUCUAUCACUACGAAUCCUCGAGUGAUACCGCACCCUAUGCUCAUCGGGUUGAUUCUCACCUUGUUGGUUAUACCGACGCUGGAUACUUAUCUGAUCCGCACAAGGCGCGUUCUCAAACGGGUUAUGUCUUUACCGUUGGAGGCACCGUAAUAUCUUGGAGGUCAACUAAACAGACCUUAGUUGCCACUUCGUCUAACCAUGCUGAAAUUCUCGCCUUACAUGAAGCAACUCGGGAAUGCUUUUGGUUGAGAGCAGUAAUGGGCCAUAUUCGAAGCUCCUGUGAUCUUCAUCCCGCCGUUAAUGCCCCGACGACGAUUUUUGAAGACAACGCAGCUUGCAUCGAACAGCUCAAGAAGGGUUACAUCAAAGGAGACAACACCAAGCAUAUUGUGCCGAAGUUCUUCUUUACACAUCAACAACAAGAGCAUCAGAAGAUUGAAGUCACGCAAAUCUGAUCACAAGACAAUCUGGCCGACCUCUUCACCAAAUCACUACCGAAGGCGACGUUUCAUAAGCUUGUUCAUGGAAUUGGUAUUUGUAAACUUUCUGAGUUGUAACUUUGCUAUUUCUCUUUGGAAUUAUGUCAAACUCAGGGGGAGUAUCUUCUGGAUACUUGCUUGAUCUUAAUGUACUCUUUUUCCAUACGAUUAGGAGCAUUUUUCCCACUGGAUUUUUGCUACCUAACUAGGUUUUAACGAGGCACCCACCUUGGGCUGGUCAUAUCCCUGAUGACGUCCUGUAGACGUUUCUUUUGACUUUGCAUUUCUCACGCAUUUUUCCUUAGACUAUGGAUUUUGUCCCUACUUGGGUUUUUGCCAUAGCCUUAGGGUUUUUUAGUGAGACUUACUACUUAUGCAAGUUCCUACCUUAUUAAGAAUAAGCGUUGUUCCUUGGAAUCAGUGCCGACGAGUCGACUUCCUCAACUUCUGCAUGAUGCUAAAUCUACCUUAAGUAUUUGCACACUCAAGGGGGAGUGUUGUAAACAUUCCUAGAAUAAGUAUGAUUGUGUAAAUCCUAGAUUAGAUUUGAUUCUAGUUAUCAUUUCCUAUUACAACUUGUAUUACUUAGAGGAGAAGGAAUAUCUUCUCUCCCUUUACUACUAUAAAUAAAGGCACAAUGUAGGAGGGAUAACAACACACACAUUUCCCUACAAUUCUACAAACACACAUCUCUCUUCUCCCUCCCACUGCCGCCGGCCCUCUCUAUUUUGUCAGAUAAAAAUAGACCACAACAAUAUAUAUAUUUAUUUCGGUUUGGUUCGGAACUACGGAAAAAAUGGAAAUGUGAGACCGAUUCUUGUACCGAAAGUUCGUGAUUGGUUUUAUAUUUUUUCGGUUUAGUUUCAGAAUUUUUUUGGUUCGGUUUGACAUUUUCGGUAUUUUUUUCCCACCCUUAUGAAUAGCCAUGUCUAAGUAAGUUUUUCGCUGACUCUCAUAAAAUAGAUGCGAUUUUCCUCCCACCCCGCCUCCAAAGUGGCCUCCACCGCUGGGUUAUUGAACAAGUUUUUUAAAACAUUGGUAUAAUUUCAUUGAUGAUAUAGCUGAAUCAAAAUUCAAUACUAAAUUUAUUAUUAUGCAAAAAAAAAAAAAAAAAAGAUCAAUGUCGUGUAAAAGCAAUCACGCUAUAGCUGUUUAAGUGAAUGAAUCACAUCACACAAAAUUAACUAUAUACCGCCCCGGAAAAUAAUCUAAGACAACAAAGCCAAAGCAAUGGACAAAAAGGUAGCGGAAAGGCCAGCGGCGCCGAGAGAAGCUGCUGCAUUUGGUGGUGGUGGUGCAGAACCUUCGGGUGUCGGUGACGAAGGAGUAUUUGGGCUGGUUGGACUUCCAGGUGGAGGGUUGGCACUAGAGCCUGGAGGGGUGGCACUGCUGCUUGGAGGAGUGGCCGUGGAGGAAGGUGGCGUGGCGGUGGUACUACCGGAGGUGACAUUGAUGGCAAGCUUCUGGCCUCCGGCACAGUGGCCGGUGAAAGUGCAGAUGAAGAAAUUCUCGCCGGUGGAGUUGAGAGUGAUUCUCGUUGGUGGGUUAGUGAACAGGGCAAGGGUGCUGCUGGUGUUGCAUGAGUCGUAGUUUGCCUUGGUCACUACUGCCACGUCGUGUGUUCCGUUCGAAUAGUUGAACACUGUACAAUAGACAAUCAAAAUCAACACCUUAACACUAAUUAAUUUGUAAAUACGUAAAUUUUUUAGUAGGUCAAAAUACUAACUAUUUUGAUUUGCCUGAAAAGUCAUCGAACUCAAAAAUAAAAUAAAUACAUUGUUCGAACCAAUUGACUUAACUCAUAUUUUAAGAUAGGUUUGAGAUUGUUUUAUAAUUAAUAAAAAUGUUUUUUGACAUAGGAAAGUAUUUAUGAUAUUCACAAAAAACACUUAAAAUUGAUUAUGCGCUUCUAUGUCACAAAAACAGGUCUAAAAGAACACUUUCAAAAAAAUAUUUUUAAGUAUUUUCCAAAAAUCAGUUCAACGUAACCUUAUGAGCAGAAAUACUUGCUUAAAAAACAAAUCCAAACAGGACCAUAUUUAGCGCAAUUGAGGCAUACCUAGAGUGUCACCAACCACAAAGGUUUUGUUAGCAGCCCAAGUUUGGUAAGAGCCCGGAGGGAGGACAGUCCAUCCGCUGUUGUUGCCAACGGUCCAAGUGACAGGUGCUCGUGAGGAGCUUGGUGUUGGUGCUGGGGAAGCAGCAGGGGUAGGAGUACUAGUACUCGGAGCUGGUGCGGGAACAGAGGCCGGUGGUGAAGGAGGAGGAGAAAUAGUACUCGGAGCUGGUGCCGGAACAGAGGCCGGUGGUGAAGGUGAAGGGGGAGGAGUAGUCCUUGGAGCCGGAGCAGGAGAAGAAGCUCCGGUCACACUGAUAGACAAUUUCUGACCGGCACUGCAAUGGCCAGAGAAGGUGCAGAUAUAGUAAUGCUCCCCUGAAGAGCUAAGCGUGAUAUUUGUAGGGCUGGCAGUCUCCAAAGUAAUGGGAUUAGUUGCAUUGCAAGCAUCAAAAGCUGCCUUUGUCACUUCCGCCACGUCGUGAUUUCCGCUGCUGUAUGUGAAUACUGCAAAGCAGAAAGUUCAAGAAAUUAGUAUGGAACAUCGAAUUAAGUUUACAAAAUGAAAUGGUUAUCAGACGAACGCUUAUUUAGGCUAACAUUAGUAUGAAAUAUGAAAUUAAGUUUACAGAUACGAAAUAGUUAUUAGUCGAACACUUGUUUAGCUGAAAUUAGUAUGAAAAAUGAAAUUAAGUGUACAAAAACAAAAUAGUUAUCAAAUGUGCGCGUCAACUGAAAUUAUAUAUACCAAGAGUGUCGCCGACAGUGAAGGUUUUGUUGUCAGCCCAUGUAGUGUAAGCUGCGGCGCCACCGGAAGGGAUGGACCAACCCAACCCAUCACCCACUUGGUAAGUAGUUGCCGCUGACGCUAAGCUCAUCAGCAAAGCGGCCGCCACCACGGCUGCGAAAAACGCCAUGUUUGUGUUCCUUGCCAUUGCCCUUGUGUUCUUUGAAGGUCAGGUCGCCCCUGUUUUUUCCUACUCUCUUUUUUUUUCCUCUGUUCUUGAAAACUUGUAAAGGUUUUGUUUCUAGAGGGUUUGUCACUGUCAUCCUUUAUAUAGAGGAAGGCUUUGUGAAACCACAAAUUUUGGCUGUUUGUGCCGUUGGAUGGAUGCCACGUCUGCGGUUCUGUGAGUAAUAUGGACGGUUCAGAUUUGGUGACUGGGUCAGGUCUGCCGAGAUAUGGGACUUGGUGAAACUCAGACUUCCGUGUGAGAGGAUGAGAGCUCUCACCAAAAAAAUGUGACCAUCUUUGUGCGUUGACCAGUCAUUGCUUUAUAUUAAAUUAUAGAUUUGGAAACUAGGAAGGUUUUCUCUGGAAAGAAUAGUUAAUAAUUGGAGCAAGUGAAUAAAAGUGAAGGAACGGCUGCGUCCCAAAAAAGGACAAAAGGUAAAAGGAAGGAGUAGGACCCAUAUAGAGUUACCAAGGAAAUUUCCUGAGAAAUAAUGAAGUAAUAGUAGUAGGCCAAGUGUGAAUUAGGAAUUUGUCAAACCUGGACUGUAGCAGUAGUAGGCCAAAUGUGGAUUCGUAAAAGCCUAAUUGUAAAUUAGUGCGACACUUACUAAAAUUUAUUUUUCGAUAUUUGAGGUAUUCCACACCUUGAAAGGUAUGAUUAAUUUUCAAUGGGGUUCAGAAAGGUUAAAGCAUUUUAGUUUAUCUCUAGCUAUAAUCAAAUGAUACAGUCAUUUCAAAACUUUCAACUAGAGAAACACUUGUGUUUUUGCUAGCUUUAUAUCUCAAAUCUAAGACCAGAAAGCAAACCAGACUUGAAAUCUACUGCAUUUCCACUAAACCACUUACCAUAGUUUCUUUUUAUUUAUUAGGGUUUACUACUGUUUUUCUGUUGUUCAGAAUUAGUUCUUUACAAAUACAACUUUGUAACUCAAUAAGAGAAUGAGGGUUUGAAUUUCCGAUGGUAUAGCCGUCUUGGCAAUUUGAUUUGUUAACAACCAUAAAUAAUUCUAAAAUAAACGAACAAGUAGACGAACUGACAAUAAAGAACUGUUUUCUUCACCUAACUCUUACAGCUUACAUCAAGUACUAUCCACUUGUUUAUCUAAGGAGUUACUCAAUUUAUUCUAUUAUAAUCCUAGAUACCAACCGAAGCCUUCACCUUUGCUUUUCAUGAAAAACACUUCCAUAUCUCGGUGCUAAUAUACAUUACAAUAUUCCUCUUUCCAUCUCUUUCUCCACAUGCGUGGUAAGGUUAGGUGAGGAAAGAGAGAGAGAGAGUAAAACCCAUCUAGGGUGGAAAAAAUUCUUGAAAAUUCCGAACCAAACCGAAAAAAUCCUGAUCCAAAACCAAAAAUUUUUUAAAUUGAAAUUUCUGAAAUUUUUGGGAUGCUAUCCCGAACCGAUCUCGAAAUUUCGAUACGGGAUUUGGGAUUGGCUUCUCGAUAUUUCGGGAAUCCCAUACCGAACCGAAAAUAUAUAAUAUUAAUUAUUAUAUAUAUUUAUACAUAUAUGUUAUAUAUAUGUAUUAUUCUUUUAUAAUUGAUAAUAGUAGUUUCUAAUUCAUGCUCCGCAACUUGGAAUGCCCUACACCUUGCAAAUUUUGCAUGUUCUGUUUGAUAUUCAUUUGGAUUUUAUUAUUGCUACUGCCAUGACUGAUGAUUUCAGAAGGCUUGAUUCUUUUGUCUCUCAACAGAUUGCAAAAAUGGUUUAAUUAAUUUGAAUUUUGACUUUGAUAAAAACAGUCAGGCAUGCCUAGAUUAAAUGGUAGUCAGGGGUGGAUCUAUAUAGGGACCGGGGUGGUCCCGGGAUCCUCCGAAGAUAGGGAGAAACGCUUGUGAAGUACCAUGGAGGACCACCCUAAACUUUAGAUGGAGCUCUAUGAAGGACUGGAUGGGAUAAAUCAUUGUGAAAAAUAAAAAUUAGGUAUAAGAUCCACAACUAAACUGGGUUUUCUUUGCCGGAGUUUGAAUAUGUAGUUGCAGAACUGGCUGGGUAAAGUGAAUGAAGAAGACCGAUUGUGUUUGCACUUCUGUCUUGUAUGGAAACGGUACUGUUUUUGCUUUUUUUUUGUUUUUGUUUUUUUUUUCCUUCUUAUCUCUUUUUCCAGUUGGACCCAAUAUCUUGUUUCUAAAUAUUUUUUUUUAUCCCAUUUUGCCGUUUGGCCCUUUUUUAUAUCCCUGCAAUAUAUUGAAAGCUAAACAUAAUUGUAACCUUUUAAAUUAAUAGCCUUCACCUCAUAAUUAUUAAUAUCUCAUAAGAAAGAAAACCUUUUAAUUUACUAGUAUUCUUAAAAAAGAAAAAAAAACUUUCAAUUUACUAGUUCUCAAGAAAAUUGACACUAAAUAUUGUGGUAAGGCUUUUAAUCUUUAAGGGCGUGUUUGUUACACCUCUUUAGGAGGGAUUGGCUUGAACUACCUUAAGUAGGACUAUAAUCCUACGUUUGGUAGGUUGUGGGACUAAAAUAAAUGGGACUCGCCUCGACUACUAGUCCAUGCGUGUUUCGCUAAACCUUUCAGCCUAAUCCCAUGUUUUAGCUUGGUAUUACUAUUAGCAAGGACUAGAAGAAGGAAACCAGGCCAACAUCUAUCCCCACUUUCACUUGCUAAACCCCCAGUCCAUCCACGCUCCGCUUUCUUCUGCGGAGCCGUCACCAUAGCUAGGCCGUUGGCGGUGCCCCACCUUCAUCUUUUGUGUGACCAAGAUUCGGUGCCGUCGAGGGAGGACGACGACGAGGUCGAAGAAGAAGAGAUCGUCGACGACCAAGAUUCGGUGUCGUCGAAGCUACUGAAAGGAAUAGCGCUGCAGUCGCACACUCUAGAGCAUUCUUGGACCUUUUGAAGUUCUGGUUUAAUUUUGAGUUCUGGAGUUCUGGGAUAAUUUUGUUUGGUUGGUACGAAAACUUACAUGGAUUUUGUGUUGCAGUGUGGAGUUCUGGGUUUAAUUUUGAUGUUAAUUUCUUUCAUUUCCUUUUUUUUUGGGGUUUAAUUUUGAGUUCUGGGUUAAUUUUGUUAGGGCCUCAAAGUCUCUUUCUUAAAGGAAUAUACAGUGUGUGGUCUUUGUCAUCACCGACAUGCUUUGCUCAUCUCAAUUUUCUAGUGUUUUACGCUGCCCAUAUACAACGCGGCGUUGCAUUUCUUUCUUAAUUUCCUGUUCUCCUAUAAACAAAAAAUUGGGUCAAUAUUUUAGUCCGACACUUAAUCUGGCACUGCACCAAACACUUCAUUAUUUUUAUCCUGUUUAGUCUAAGCCAAGCCAGUCCAGCUUAAUCCCUAAAGCUAGUCCAGUCCAAGAUAGUCCGGUGCAACAAACGCACCCUAAAAGACAAAGCAGGGAUGCCCAUGUACACACAAAGUGCUCAAUGAAGUGUUCAUUUAAAAAAUAGAGAAAAAAAAUUACCCGCUACACACUAUUUCCGUUUACAAAAUCUUUAAAUCUUUUAUACUAGGACCACCUGAGGUUGAAAUCCUGCAUCCGCCACUGAUGGUAGUGUGAAUGAAAUGACAUUCCUAAUUCACGAAUGUGUUCUUGAAUUAUAUAUUUGAACAACAAUUCAUAAUUUCAUAUUUCAAUUUGGGAUUCCCGGUUUGUCCCGAAAUCCUGAAAAUAUUUCGGGAUUUCCGAAAUUUGGGAUUCUCGAAAAUUUGGUUUGGGAUUGGUCUUCAAAUUCCCGUCACAAAAAAUUUCGGUUUGGGAUUCGGGAUACUAGUUUUGGUAUGGUAUCCCAUACCGAACCACCCCACCAUCAAUGGCCACUGUUCAAUCCGUGCGAAUACUGGCAAUAACCAAAGACAACCCGUCGUGUUGAUCGACAUUGCCAGAAUUUUAUCAUUACCAGAAAGCCAGAAUAUUUAUAGUGUUUGUGGUACUGCACUACAGAGCAGAAUAUAUACAUAUUCACAAAGCAAAGAAUAAUAAUCAAACUUGUUACUUAAAGGCACAACGUGGCUGCUUUAAUUUGCCCAUAUGCUCUUUGAGUUUUUGUUAUUUUUUUAGACUAUAUGUUGCUUCAAUUCCCUAAAAAAAUUCCCUAGCAUUGCCGGGGUUCCUUAGUGACAAGGGACUAGAUUUCUCUUUAUUACAAUCAAUAGUUUACACUAAGGAGAAUGAGGACGUUAACCAUUAGAGCAAUCCAUCACUUGUAGAACGAUAUUUCAUUUCACUAGCAAAGAUAAGGAAAGAAUAUAUGUGGGCUCAUUCCAUUAGUCCGAAAAUUUUACACAUAAUUGUCAGCAACUAGCUAGCUAGCAACUUAUUGGAAACAAAAGAUGGAGUUGGCAAAUUAGAAUAUAUAGUUUUCAUUAGAUCACAAUCCUAAGUAAGCAAAUAAAAUUAAGAAGUCCUCUGAACAUGAUCCUAGCAAGUGGCAAUUAAUUAGAUAUGUAUACUAUAUUUAAUUCAGUUUCAAACUUCUGCCUUGAUUGUGGACAUUGAUAAUAAAUAAAAUAACAUAUGCUCGGAAUUAUAUUCUUUGCAAUUGAUUAGUUUAAACAAGGAGACUUUGCUCCAACUAGACCAAACUCUAUGGUUUGUUUAUUUGUUUUAAUAUAAUUUUGAUUAACCAACUCCAUCGUUGGUUUCUAAGAACUUUCAAAGUGACUGACUAUUUCCAAGUGAUUAUUUUUUCAUAUUAGUAAGUGAGAUGUUGAAAGCAUAAGUUUUUGUGAUUCGUUAAUUUCUUAGACAAGUAAAAUGUGUCUGUAAUAGAUUUAGUGCUAGAUUUUAGAUAUGUUCUAGUAUUUAGGUUCGUGAUUUGAAGGCUUGCACGUCAACGGCAAUAAAAAGUAAUCUGAUUCCGUGAAUGACUUAAGGUAAACUUCACAUGCAUCAUUUUUGGAAAAUAUAAUUUAAGUGUUAACAUUUUAUUAGGAUAGUGAGAUCAAAUAAAAUCAAUUCCUGAUAUAAAUCAAUUUAGUUUACGGUUAAAGUAUAAUAUAGAUUUACUCAAUUGUAGGCCGGUUAAUUUGAUUCUCACGUCCAUUAAAUAAUGUUAUAUAGUUUUCCAUCAGGUUUUCUAUCUUUGCCAACCAUAAUUUUGUGCGAGAAAAAAAAUUAAGGUAAGGAAUUUGUAUGCUAGGGUAGAGGAGUGAAAUCCAAGUAAAAUGCUUUCUUCUAGCUCUCAUAUCAUCAUUCAUAAUUUGUUCUAGCUCGCAGGCGAACCUUCGUGCGAAAACAAGAGGACACUGCGAUAUUUGAGUUUGUAAGUUGUGUCUUGUAUGAGUCUUUGGGUUUGUUGUUUGCUCUUAGUGGAUUAUUUUCUGCCAGGGUACCCUGACUUUCUCCAGUAUGUGUGGGGUUUUACCACAUUAAAGAAAUCCUCGUGUGUUCGUCGUAUUUUAUUUUCUAUUUAUUUACUGUUGCGCCACAAGUGUUUCAAUCUUGCAAGUUUGGGUGUUUUUAUUUGGGGCUGUUUAUCUGUUUUGAGUUCCUCGAUCCGUUUGCAUUUACAAAUCUAGAUUUAGUGAUAUUUCUCUUCAUUUAAUUCAUAUGCAUAUGACGAUGGCUUCUGAAAAUCAUGUUGAGUUUUAUAUCUAUAUAUGAUUGCUAUUGUGUGGUUUAGUAUUAAUAUCUUCUCCCUUUAAAAAUAAAAAGGGGCAAGUUAAUUGAAAAAGGGGACAAAAAAUAGGCAAUUGGCUGCACUUAUUUGUAUUAACCAAAGUAAAGGAACGUACAUACAGAUAGAGCCAGGUUUAUUACGAAUUGGUAAAGGUGAAUACAAAAGCAAAAUCAUAACUAUAAAUUAAAUAAAAUAAAUACAGCCUCAUGGUAUGUACUGCAAAUGUAUGGAACAUAUUCCAAGGGAAUUAUAAAAAUCAACAUAUGAGCUAGCUGGUGACUAAUGAUCAAUAGAAGAAAGCUGCCACGGCAAUGAGCAAGAAGGUGUAGCCGCCACCAAUCCUGGACGGGGCUGAGCUGAAUGGAGGAGAAGCAGCGCCUGGCCCACUAGCGUAGGGAGUACUAUGCGAGGAAGGUGCUAUGGAACCGGAUGGUGAGUCAGACGAUGGUGGUUGGGCUGUGCUCCCGGAUGUCACGUUAAUGGCUAGCUUUUGGCCUAAUAAGCAGCGCCGAUCGUAGGUGGAUAUGAAGAAAUGCUCACCGGUGGUGUUGAGAAGGAUACUCACUGGACUAUUUUUGUAAACGGCGAUAGUGCUGUUGGUGGUGCAGUUUUCGUAAGCUGACUUGGUCACCGUAGCCACAUCGUCUUGUGUCCCAUUGACAAAGUUGAAAACUACAAAAGCAAGAAAGUAAAACAUUGUCAAGGAAUUAAUAAUUUAUAUGUAAGCAACAGAAUUUGAUUAGCGUUUAAUUAGUCUAGUUAUGAAACAGUCGUCGAUAAAUUUACGUUAUCAUCAACAUCGAUAUAGUUACCUAGAGUGUCUCCGACAAUGAAAGUCUUGCCAUAGGCCCAAGCUUCAUAAGCAUAUUCACCGCCUGGUAGGACAAGCCAACCCAAUUUAUCACCAACGACGUAAGUCACUGGUCCUGAUCUGGGUGCAGGGCUUGGAGCAGGUGAUACAUGUUCCGCAGUCACGUUAAUGGCCAGCUUUUGUCCCAACUCGCAGUGCUUGUCCUUGGUGCCAAUGAAAUAGUACUCUCCAGUGGUGUCCAAAGUGAAGUUGGCCGGACUGGUUGUUAUAAGUUUGAUGGGGUCUGUCGAGUUGCACUUGUUGAAAGCUUCCCUUGUGACCCUCGCUACAUCCUGGUCACCGUCGGUAAAGUUGAACACUGAAAAAUGAACAACAUAAAUUCAUCAAACACAGGUCUACUUGGAAAUGCUUUCGUAAAAAAUAUUUAUACUCAGAAGCGAGUGCUUCUAUUAGAAGCAUAUCAAACUUUCUGAAGCAAAUACAAAUGUUUUUUAUUUUUUAUUUUUGACAAAGCACUUCAAAUACUUUUUGAAGAAAUUAUUGCUGUGUUUCGUUAAAAAAAAAAAUUUCAAAUGCUUUUCUUAACCCAUAAACAUUUUAAACUUUAUCUGCCAACCGUUCUUAGAAUAGUCUAUUGUGAUACGAAAUCGUUUAAUCUAAAAGCACUUCAAAACAUUUUAGCUAAAAAUUGCUAAAAAUAGUGAAACUUGAGUAUAUAUGUUACAUACCAAGAAGGUCACCAACGGCGAAAUGCUGCGUAGCUGCCCAGGUUUCAUAAGUGUAGUUACCGCCGGGAGGAACCAGCCACCCGAGAAGUUCUCCAACGACAUGGGUUUUCUGUGCUGCAGUGGAGUGAAGCAGACCAACCACUGCUAUGGCUAGAAUGGCUAUUGUGAGUUCUCUUCCCAUAUUGUCUCUUCGUAUUUUGUAACUGCUUUUUUCUUUGUUUUGCUCUCUUGUUUUUAUGUACUAGCGUCUGUUUAUGUGAAAAAUGAGAUUUGGGUUGUGAUCUUUUUAUAGAGGUUAGAAGGAAGAAGUUAUACGGAAGCUUCGGUGAUACUUUGACAAAUGAUAUAGCAAAAUUGCUUCCCCAAUUUUCUGCUCGACCAACUUCUUCAAGGAUGUCUAGAACCUAAGGACCAAUUUACAAUUGACGUGGACCCAGUUUGAAUAAUUAAAUGCUAACGUGCUUGAAUGCCCUUAAUUACAUCUUUUAGUUAGAUUAUGUGCUACUUGUCUUGAAAGAAAUGAAAAAAAAGAAACAAAUCAAUAGCAUAUUCCAUUUGUAUUUGUUAAUUUUGCAUAAAUAAAUACAGAUGGGAUGGUAAGAUAAAACACUAAUUAGCUUGUUAAUUUGUAAAUGAAAUCUUAUUAUUCAUGAUUUCUCUUUUAUAGAUUUCUUUGUGCAAAGAUCAAAACCCUAGUGUGUAAUUUCCUUUUAAUUUUUUUAUUAUGCAGCCAAGAUUAACGAGCUUGAAAUGAUCCACGAUCUUCAGUGUAGUUAACGCGUUUUUGACCAUCUCUAGUUAUCUUCUAAAAGACCUUUUUAUUUGCCCUGCAUAUAAUUUGAUAUAGUUUUAAAACCCAGCUAGGAUAAAGAGGUCAGAGUUCUAAACUUUUGAUUAUCUAGUUCUUGCCUGGAGAUUGCUCUACCUCGAUUCUGUGUGACCAAAUUUCCAAGAAUAGCAUCAUCUUUGCCAUGACAAUAUUGAGAUUAUCUUACCUUUAAUGACAACAGAAGUUUUAUGCCGCCAUUAACUUUAUAUUAUAUUUAUUCAAGGGGUGAUUUGUUUAAGUCACAAAAUAUUUUUAGCACUAGAAUUGAAUCAAUCAACAUUUGUGCUCUUCACAAGUGUCAAUAAAAGAGAAAUACUAAAAAGGGUACGUAGUGAUCUUGGUUGGAGAGGAAAGUUGGUUUUAUUGGCCUUAGUUGAAGAAAUAAUUAAAUUUAUUGACGUAUUCUAAAGAAUCAAAUAACACGUAUACGAAAAUAUAAAAUUAUUUAUUGAUCUAAACUAAUUUUUUUUGUUGAAGAAUUACUAGUCCAUUAUUACUGCAUGAUGAUCGCCAUUCCAACAAACAUGCGUACACUAUCUCUGUUACAUCUAUGAUGGAAAUAAUUCUUUAAUUCCUGCAUUAAAAUAAUAAUAUCACCAAUAUAUUGAUUAAAAUAAAUCAUAAGAAAUUCAAAGUUUGCUAUCUCAUAGUGUGUGUAUAUAUGGGAUGUCUGUGUGUGUUUGUGGGUGUUGGUUAGGUGGAGGGGGAGGGGGUUUCUUAAUUUCAAUGUUGUAAUUCCUAGCAGAUACGCAAAGACAAACUUGAGUAGGUCAAGGUCGAAUCAGAAAACAGGAAUCAUUAUUAACCGAAAAUUAAGAUAUCUAAUUGCAAAUGGGUCGUAAUCAAAUACUUUGUCAGCUUAUAAGAAAAUUAUAUACAACAUGCAGACCAAUGAUGUGGAGUCUAGAGUUGGUGGACAAAUCAACCUUUGGUUGUUGGGCUUUCCUAUUUCAGUUCCAUUCAUUAUUUAUUAUGCGGAUUAAUAUUAGACGAAUGCGACGAGAGUUGAAAUUCUGUAUCGGGGUAUUAAAUUAAGGACAACUUUGUAUUUAUUUUAAAAGGUUCGGUUACUUCUCGUAUUAUUUAUAAUUAAUUUUUUGGUGAAAUAUCAACUUCUUUCAUGUUAUUAUAGUCACGUUGCCAAUGUGUUGAGCCUAACGGCCAACAUGCUCUCGUGACAUUCAAUAUGUGUUGUCCACGUUUUAAGAUUAGAUGACCAUACAUCUGAGGACAAUGUUGAGAGUGCAAAUCUCCCACCAGAGAAUUCAAGCACCUUGCACAUCCUUAUAAGAAGUUGAACUACAUUCUAUAUUGUCGAUUAGUUUUACAGUAAAACAUCAACUUAAGGUGCUAUUUAAAUGUGUCUCUCUCAGCCACACUUCUAGAAAAUAAAUAGAAGAAACAUCAGACCAAUGUAUCAAUUAAAACUUUUUAUACCAAGUUUUGAUUUUAAGGGCACUAAACGUGGAAAUAAUUCAGCAAUUUUUUUCUUAAUUAGAACGUGAGAAGACGACUUCUAGAAGCGCAUAUAUAUUAUGAAUCUUGCUUUGUUUGGCCGGUCAUCAUUGUCAUAUUGUAUUUCGUGAGCGGUGUGAACAGGGCAUCAAUUUGUUAUGCUUCAGAACCUUCCUCCCAAAACCCCAUCUUUAAUUUAAUGAUUUGCCAGAGUUUUCCAACUGGGCGGCUUCUAGGCUCAAACAAUAUGUAUAUGAAACUAGCCUUGUUUAAGGGCUGGUUUGAUAUGCUAUGCUUUGAGAAAAAACCACUUCUGUUGUGCUGUGAGAAUAAGUUCAUUUUUGCUACUUCACAUUUUUAGCUUUUUUUUCAUCCAAAAUUGUAAAAAUAAACUGUUGUUAAGUGUUUACCAAAUACCUUUUUGAGCUCAGCUUUUUAUACCUACUUUUUAUAAAAGCAUCUCGGUAUCAAACCAGUACUAAGUGGUUCUGUAAUAUUGAAUUCAUUUGAUUCCUCAGUACCAAACCAGUACUAAGUGGAUCUGUAAUAUUGAAUCCAUUUGAUUCCCCGGCCUCUAGGCAUAACAAUUUUUCUAUUCUGUUAAAUUGAUAUCUCUGUUAUAUCUAAAUUAAGUAAGUUUUUUUUCUUUCUGUUUUUUCUAAUUUAUUUUUAAGUAAUUCGUUAAUUAAUUUGCAUCAGCUUGAAUCUUAAAUUUCUUGGCUUAAUUAUGAGCUUAACACAACUCCGGUUAAUUAAAGACUAUAUCCGGUACCAUGAUCCCUUUAAAGUACAAAUGUUUUCUUCUGAGCCUUUACUUGUGAGGUGUCAAAUAAUGCACCCAUGAUGAUGCUACAACAAGUUUAAUAAUUCUGAUCACCAAUUAGUCAAUGAGCAAAGAUUGUCUGCCCUCCCACUUUUGGUGCUCUUAUGUUUUGUGUGGUCACGGUUAAGCCACGUCAAUAUUUUAUAUUGUUUUUUUUAUAGAGAUAGGUCGUACCCAGUGCACAAGGCUCCCGCUCUACGCAGGGUCUGGGAGAGGUGAAUGUCGGCUAGCCUUACCCCCAUUUUUUUUACAGAGAAAGGUCGUACCCAGUGCACAAGGCUCCCGCUCUACGCAGGGUCUGGGAGAGGUGAAUGUCGGCUAGCCUUACCCCCAUUUUAUGUUUGUGUGAUCAAGCCACGUCAAUAUUUUAUAUUACUAUUCAUUUUUAUCUUAUUAUCUCUAUAAAAAAAACUAUCUCCAACCGAGGGCCAAAGGGCCAUAGGGCCAAACAUAAUUUAUUAUUUAAAAACUAUAACUUAAAUGUUGUUUAACUUUCAUGUUGUUAAAUGUUUUUUUUAUGUUGUAUAAUUUUUAUGUUGUUUUAUGUUACUUAAUUUAAUUUAAUUAAUGUUGUAUAAUGGCUUAGGAAGUUAUAGGAAAAAAAUAGAAUAAAAAAAUACGAAACAAAUUUUGUGAAAUAGAAGUUAUAGGAAAAAAAUAAAAUUUAAAAUAAAAUGAAACAAAUUUUGUUAAAUAGAAGUUAUAGGAAAAAAUGGAAUUUAAAAAAAAAAUAUAUGAAACAAAUUUUGUAAAAUAAAAGUUAUAGAAAAAAAAAGAAUUUAAAAAAAAUGAAAAAUAGAAGUUAUAGGAAAAAUUUUGUAAAUAAAAAAUAAUAAUAAAACUGUUAAAAAAAAAUCAAAGUAUUCAACCGACAGGAAUACAUGCAUAUUAUUUAGUAUAAAUGUAUUAUUAUCGGUUAUAACCGACAGGAAAUCCGACACAUUUAAAAAAAAUUUGGCCAGCCCAGGGCUGACUGGUUGGCUGGAAGUGGCCAGCCCUUUGGCCCUCCAGCCCUUUUCGAUUCCGUGGGGCCUCCUCAGAUUCCACAGCCCUCUAGCCUGGCCCUCGGUUGGAGACAGUUUUCGGACUAUUUUUGGCCUUCUGACCAUUUGGACCAUUCGGUUGGAGAUGGCCUCACGGAUGGUUACUGAAAUCAUGUUCUUUUGCCUUGCAUGACUUUCAUAGACACAAAUUUGUUGGGGAUGGUCGCAUGAGCUUGAACAGAAGCAGUUGGACUUGGACUUGGGGGAGUGGUUGAAGACGGAGCGAAGUAAAUAGCUACCUUUUGCCCUCUGGGCAGUGCCCGGCCAAGGUGCUCGUGAAAUAAAACGUGUCGCUCCCGGUAAAUUUAAGCAUUGAUGGUUCAUUGAAAUAAAACAAGGGAUUCGAGGUGUUACACGUAUCAAAAUCUUCCUUAGUUAUUAUAGCCAAGUCAUCUUCUCUUGCAGUGAAGUUAAAUACUGCAUGUACAAACAACAAUAUAAUUAGCCUAAUUCUAUGUUGUUUUAUCUAGAGAAGUUAAUAUUGCCUAAUCUUUUAAUUUAUUUAUAUAUAAAAAAAAUAUAAUUAUGUGAUCGUUGUAAAUAUGUAUUAGUUGUUUCAGAUGAUGACAAAUGCACGUAGAUUAAGGUGCCUAAGUUGGCUAAGUUUGUUAUUGACAGUUAGCUUACUUAGUGACUAAGGAAAACCUUGUCUAUAUAUAUCUAUGUACUAAUGUAAAAUGAUGAUGAUGAAUAUACAAGAUACAAUUCUCUCUCUCUCUUUAAAACUGUUAUUCUCUCUCAAAUGUCUCUCUAUCUCUAUCAAGAACUUGUAUGGAAAACAAACGUCUCUCUGCAAUCUGACAUGGUAUCUUCGCCGGUGCUAGAGGUCUUCCGAUCCUGUGCUGCUUCUUGCUUCUACCUUCUUGAUCUGUAUGUUUUGGUGUGAUCUUUUACUCUCAUCUCUUUCCUCAUUGAAUUGCGACUUCUCUUUUCUGCUAAGUUCGCCUGUAAAGUUUAUGCAACAUUGUGCUCACCAACUGUCCGAUCAAUUGUGUGACUAAAAGUUUUUGAAUCGAUAUCAGUUUUCUUCUUUCGAAUUUGUCUCUGAGUUGAAUUCUUUAAGUAAUUCUGCCCAAUUUUCUUUCUGAAACCCUAAUUCUAUGAUUCUUUCACGAAUUAUUGAAUCUUUGCAUACUUUUCUCUGCAAACAUGGUGACUGUAGCACAAUUACAAAUUGUACAGUCUCUUAUUACAAAUCUCAUUCCGAAUGUCUCUAAUUCUGUUAUUGUGAAGCUUGAUGAUACAAAUUAUCUUGUGUGGAACUAUCAAAUUCGUUUGCUUCUUAAAAGCCAUGGUAUGUUCGACUUUGUUGAUGGCACUCGAACAUGUCCUACAAGAUUUAAAGAUGAUUUCGAUGUUGAAGGUGUUGAAACUGAGGAUUUUCAGAUUUGGAAAAUGCAUGAUUGUGCUAUAAUGCAGCUACUCAUUACUACACUGUCUCCAACAUCCAUGUCUUGUAUCAUUGGUUGUCUCAAUUCUCAUGAUAUGUGGACUAAUUUGAAGGAUAGGUUCUUUAUAGUUACAAAAGCCAGCAAUUUUUAAUUGAAAACUGAGUUGUAGAAUAUAAAGAAAGGUUUUGAUUCAGUCUCUCAGUAUCUUCAAAUGAUCAAAGAUGUUUGGGAUCAUCUCUCAGCAGCAGGAGUAAUUUUUAAAGAUGAUGACAUUGUUAUUUUGUCACUUAAAGGUUUGCUUGUGGAGUACAAUACAUUUCGAACAGUUAUGAGGGGGAGAGAUAAUGUGAUCUUACUAAAGGAUUUUAGAUCCCAACUAUUGGCAGAAGAAGCUAUUGUUGAAAAUAUCUAUGUGAAUGACACCUUUAUAUCUGCCAUGAUGGCAAAUGACAGGAAAGACAAAGGAAAUGCUCUGAUGCUUGGAGAAGAAUCCACUCAAUCUCAGUUACAAAAUCAUAAUGCUAGUGGAUCAACCAACACUAGCAAUUAUAAUGGUGGCUCUUCUAACUACAAUGGUGGAUACAAUUCUUCUUACAGAGGUAGAGGACGAGGCAGAAAUAACUACAGUUCCAACAACAAAAACAAUACUAGUUUCUCAAAUUCAAGUGCAGGGAUUCUUGGUCCAGGAAAGCAUCAUGUGUCUACAUGUCCUAAUCAUGGUUAUGAUAUUCCCAUUUGUCAAAUUUGUAAUAAACGAGGGCGCAUUGCAGCUAAUUGUUUUUAGAGACACUAAUCUUCCUCUACUCAAUCCUCCAAGCCACAAUGCCAAAUUUCUAGCAAAUUUGGACACAUUGCUUUGCAAUGUUAUCAUAGAGCUGAUUUUUCAUAUCAAGGAAGGGCUCCAUCACCCAAUCUCUCUGCUAUGUAUACUACCUUUCAACCAUCUGCACCACAUGAGCAAUUUUGGGUGGCAAAUACAGGAGCAACUUCCCACAUGACUUCUGAUUUAGCAAAUCUCAAUCUACCAACCUCAUUCUCUGGCAUAGAUACAGUAACCACAACUAAUGGUUUAGGUUUUCACAUCUCUCAUAUUAGUUCUAGUACAUUAAGGACAUCUUAAUAUGAUUUUGAACUGAAGAAAAUUAUGCAUGUUCCCCAUAUAUCUCAGCAUUUAUUAUCCAUUUAUAGACCAUGUAAGGAUAACAAAUGCAGAUUUAUGUAUGAUUAAUUCUCUUAUUGGAUCCAGGGCAAGGUCAUAGGGAGAAUCCUUUUCCAAAGACUGUGUAGAGUUAGCUUGUACCCCAUUCUCUUCUCUAUUCCAAAACAUCUCAUAAAUCAAGCACAACAAUCAUCUGCAUUACCUACAACACAAUCAUGUUUUCUUGGCAAGCAAGUCAAAAUAAUGUUGUGGUACCACAGGCUAGGACACCUCUCCAACAUUGUGACAUCUGCAAUGUUAAAACAAUCCAAUAUACCUAUGCAUGUUUCUCAUGUGUCUUCUAUUUGUAAAUCAUGUUUAGAGGGCAAGUUUACAAAACUUCCUUUUGUUUUUCCUACAAAUAAAACUGUAAAACCCUUGGAGGUUAUACAUAGUGAUGUUUGGGGGCCUUCAUCUACUGUUUCAGUUGAAGGUUACAAAUACUAUGUUACUUUUGUGGAUGAAUGUACUAGGUUUACCUGAAUCUUUCCAUUGAUAAAUAAAAGUGAAGUAUUCAGUAUUUUUGUUCACUUUUACCAGUUUUUUAAUACUUAGUUUUCUGCAAAUAUCAAAGUAUUUCAAAGUGAUGGAGGAGGUGAACACUUCAGUUAAAAGUUCAAACAAUUUUUGCUUGAUAAAGGUAUGGUUCAUAAAAAAUCAUGCCCUUAUACCCUUGAGCAAAAUGGUCUUGUACAAAGAAAGCAUAAACAUAUUCUUGAAAUAGCCGUUACACUUUUACAAAAUGCUUCAAUGCCCUAUAAGUAUUGGUUUCAUGCACGUGCUGCUUCUGUGUAUCUCAUAAAUCGAAUGCCCUGUCAAACCUUGCACAUGUCAUCACCAUAUCAAUACUUUUUUGGUAACUCUCCUCAGAUUUCUCAUCUUAAAAUCUUUGGUUGUGCAUGCUAUCCACUUUUAAAACCAUACAAUACUACUAAGUUGCAACCCAAAACAACUUAGUAUGUAUUUAUAGGAUAUGUAGGCCAAUAUAAAGGGUAUUUGUGUCUACAUCCUUGGCAAGAUCAUUGUCUCCAGACAUGUUCUAUUUGAUGAAUUUGAUUUUCCUUUUUCAAAUCUUCAGCAUUCAUCCACUGCACCUUAUAACAUUUCAUCUCAGCACAGGGUAUCUGUCACUGCUCCACAUACAUUACCUCCAUUAGUUACUUCACAAAACACAGUUAUUCCUUAUCAACCAUCUUUUUUACUUGUUUUAUCCCCUACAGCCUCAGAGUCUUCAAAUUCAAUAACCACUAGUGCCACAGAGUUGUUCCAUUCUUUUCCUUCUGGUGCCUCAAGUAUCUACACAAUCUCCAAUGCCUGUUGAUCUAGAUUUUCGACCAGAAAAUAUGUUUGUUGUCUUUCCAAUACCUUCAGUUAGUUUGCAUCUCAUGCAAACUAGGUCCAAAAGUGGGAUUUCCAAGAAGAAAGUGUUCUCAGCAACUGUUCAAUCAUCUGCAAAUGCAAUUGAACCUACCUCCUACAAGUCUUCUAGUAAAUUUCCUAAGUGGCAAGUAGCUAUGCAAGAAGAGAUAGAUGUUCUUCACGCUCAGAAAACUUGGAGCUUAGUUCCUUUACCCUCUAGGAAGAAUUUGGUUAGCUGCAAGUGGGUAUAUAGGAUCAAAAGAAACUGUGAUGGAUCUAUAGCUAGACACAAAGCUAGAUUGGUUGCCAAAGGUAUAGUCAAGAAGAAAACAUUGAUUACAAUAAGACUUUCAAUCCUAUUGUUAAACCCACAACUGUGAGGUUGAUUUUAGCUUUGGCAGCACAAUUCAAUUGGUCUUUAAGGCAGUUAGAUGUUAAGAAUGCAUUUCUGCAUGGUGACUUAAAUGAAGAAGUGUAUAUGGCAUAACCUCCAGGUUUUCACAACUCUAGUCAUCCCUCUUAAUAUGUUUGCAAGCUUAAUAAGUCACUAUAUGGCUUGAAGCAAACUCCCAGAGCUUGAAAUGAAAAGUUUACAAGUUAUUUGCCCGGUUUGGGUUUUAAGUCCUCUUUUGUAGAUCAUUCCUUAUUUGUCAAACAUAGUGCUGCUGGUACUGUUGUAUUGUUAUUUUAUGUGGAUGAUAUAAAUUUUCUUGCAGAUAGUUCUUCUCAGAUGAUCACUGAUACUGUUGUGAAGUUAACUAAGGAACUUGAUAUGAAGGAUUUGGGACAGUUGCAUAAGUUUUUGGGGUUACAAAUCACUUAUCAGUAUAUCGGCUUAUUUGUCUCUCUGUCAAAAUAUAUCAAGGAUUUGUUAAAUAAAGUUGACUUAUAAGAUUCAAAGGCUUGUCCUACACCUUGCUUGCCAUAUCACAAAUUCCUCAAGGAUGAUGGCACUCCAUAUCACAGUCCAGAGCAAUAUAGAAACAUUGUUGGUGAUAUCAUUCUUGCAGACAGUUCUUCUCAGAUGAUCACUGAUACUGUUGUGGAGUUAACUAAGGAAUUUGAUAUGAAGGAUUUGGGACAGUUGCAUUAGUUUUUGGGGUUACAAAUCACUUAUCAGUAUAUUGGCUUGUUUGUCUCUAAGUCAAAAUAUAUCAAGGAUUUGUUAAAUAAAGUUGACUUACGAGAUUCAAAGGCUUGUCCUACACCUUGCUUGCCAUAUCACAAACUCCUCAAGGAUGAUGGCACUCCAUAUCACAGUCCAGAGCAAUAUAGAAACAUUGUUGGUGCCUUGCAGUAUUUAACUUUUACAAGGUUAGACAUAGCAUUCUCAAUGAACCAAUGCUGUUAGUUUAUGCACAAUCCUAUGAAUUCUCAUAUUGUUGCAGUUAAGAGGAUUCUUAGAUAUCUUAGUGGCACAAUAAACUAUGGUCUUAGCUUCAAACAUGGAAAAUUGCAUCUGCAAGCAUACAGUAUGCAGACUGGGCAUGUGAUCCUAAUGAUCAAAGAUCAACUUCUGGUCAUAUUGUUUACUUUGUUUCUAGUCCAAUUUCUUGGGCCUUUAAAAAGCAACAUACAAUGUCAAGAUUUUCAACUGAGGCAGAAUAUAGAGCCUUAGCUAUUGCAGUUGCAGAUUUAGCAUGGAUUAGGCAAUUACUGUGUGAUCUUCAUGUUUCUGUGUUCAUUGCACCAAUGAUCUACUAUGAUAAUAUUUCAGCAAGAGGUGUGCUAUCUACACACCUCAUUUUACUUCUCACACACCCCUUGAUUAUUUCUGUCCAUUGAUCUUCUUUAAUUCAUCUGAUUUGACGUUUGAAAAUUAAAAAGGUGCGUGAGAAGUAAAAUGAGGUGUGUGGAUAUCACACCCUUUUUAGCAAUUGCUUUGUCUUCCAAUCCUGUCUUUCAUUCUCGAGUGAAGCACAUUGAGAUAGAUUAUCACUUUGUCAGGGAAAGGAUGAUCCGAGGAUAUUUGAAUGUUUAUCAUGUGUCUUCCAGAGAACAGUUUGCAUAUAUUCUCACUAAGGGCCUUGCUGCACCUUUGUUUCAAUGUCAUUGUUCCAAUCUGAUGCUUGGUUCAUCCAAGCAUGAGAUUGCGGGGGAUGUAAAGAUGUAUUAGUUGUUUUAGAUGAUGACAAGUGUACAUAGAUUAAGGUGCCUAAGUUGGUUAAGUUUGUUAUUGACAGUUAGCUUACUUAGUGACUAAGGAAAACCUUGUCUAUAGAAAACCUUGUCUAUAUAUAUCUAUGUACUGAUAUAAAAUGAUGAUGAUGAAUAUACAAAAUACAAUUCUCUCUCUCUCUCUAAAACUAUUAUUCUUUCUCAAAUGUCUCUCUCUCUAUCAAGAACUUGUAUGGAAAACAAACGUCUCUGUGCAAUCUGACAAUCAUGAUCCAUGCAGCUAGAUUACCCAAAUUAAUUCAAAAGAAAGAAAAAAAAAUGGCGAAGCUAUAUGGGAGCGAGGAGGGGCGAUCGCCCCUCCCCUCGUCGAAAAUUAAGCCUGGGAGCGACGGUCCGCCCCUCUGGUCACGUCGGAAAACUUGCAGCGCCGUGAGGGACAAAGUUCCAAUAAUCUUAGAGGAGGAGGAAGAAGAAUUUUAGCCACCAGAACAUAAACUCGUGACCUGUUCUCCCCUCUUCGAACCCCUGCACCUCGCAGAUCUCGUACACAGGUGGGGUUUGAAGCUCAAAGGAAAAAUCGACGGCGCUGGUGUGUGAAGGCAUGAGCAAAUGGGAGAGGCGCUAGGCUAUCCUAAUUUUAAACUAGAAGCUUAAAAAAAACAAAAAAGUAAGAAUGAGGUCCUAGCUGCUGCAGUCAUGGUGUUGGCCCAAAACUUGGGCCUAGUUGAUUUAAAAUAAAAGGAAAAAGGAAUGGGAUGCAGAGGAAAACUACAAAAGGAGGAGUUUCAAUACUUUGGUCUUGACUUUGGUAUUAUUGGUCGAUACCGCUUCAGUUAAGAGAGUUUUUUUGCUAUAAGUAUUCUCAAAAUACCAUUGUGUAACAAAAAAGAAGAUAAAUGGUUGAGUGAUAGCUUUGUUGUUUACAGUAAGAGAGAUAUUUUUCUUCUAUUGAUAAUAAACUUAUUGUGCAACGUUUUCAUGACAUUAAACAUCGCCGACAACAAUUGUAACUUGUUUGUAUUGAUACAUUAUGAACGACAUUUAAAUUUUCCACCAUAUAAAAGGAUUUGGUUGUUAUAUUUUUUUGGAGCCUUUUACUCUUUUAAAUUUCGCCCAUUCCCUUGAAAAUUCCUGGCUUCGCCACUGACCACGGAUAUUGCUACCAUUGCUAUAACAAGGACCAUCGUGUUGUUCACGUUCAUGGUUCUAGCCAUCUUUUCUAUAAUUAUUGUCCUUGUGUAUGAUUCUUGACUUUACAACAACUUCAUGGUGUCUGAGUUUAUAAGUUUUAUCAAUUGUGUAAAUCAGCUGUGACAUCUGGCAAUUGCUAGCUCUUUGUGUGCAUGGAGCAGCUAGAUUAUUAGCUGAUAAUUGAUUCAUGUAAUGAUAGGUCGAUGUUAACUAUACAUGUCGAUUAUGUAAAACAAUUUUUAGAUGAUAAUUCCCAAGCAUAACAUUACAGAUUUUAAUAGUUUUUUUUUUUCAUUUUAAUUAUUAUAUGAGUAAUAGAGUUGUAACAGCAAUGUGAUACAUAUUUGGUUUUAUUUUGAAUUACUUAACCCUAAUGAAAUUCUGGUUGGAUUCUUGUCUCGUAUGCUAUAUAGACAAUGCAAAACAAUACAACAAAAAGUUUCAAAGACUUCUUCUUUUGGAUGUGAUAUUUGUACUCUCAUCUCUCAAUAAUAUGUAAUAUAUAUUAUGCAUCCGUAAAGUGUACCUAUUGUAACUAAUUAGAGGCGUCAAUGCAGGACCAAUUAUUAUUUCAUUAUUUAAGGUAAGAUUUUAGUUGUCCCUUCAAGUUUAGAGGUAUUUUAAUUUCCUUAUGGUCACAGGAUCAACCAUUCAUUCAUGAUGAAAUAUGACAAAUAUCAUGAGUUUAGUUUAGUUCACGUGUGCAGAAUUUGGAGACGUCAACAUUUCAACUCUGAUGGCCAGUUGUUUGACUUGCACAUUGUAUUUGUUGAUGCUAACCAAGGUAUAAAAUAUCGAUGAUAUCGGAAAUAUCGGUAGUUUAAAAACAUGGAAAUUUCGAUGGAAAUAUCGGGAUAUUAUCGAUAUCGAUAAAAAUUGAAUAAAAACCACGGAAAUUGUAAGAAAAACUUGGAAAUUUUUAUUGAAACUUUGCAGGAUGUUUAUUUAGUCAAUUAUAUAUUAGUUUAUCACAAAAAAAUUAGAAGGAAAUGCAUUGCAUGAUGGAUUUAACUGAUUUAAGUUGAUUAUAUAGCGAGCUGGUAAAUAUUGUGAGUGUAGAAAAUAUGUAGUAAUUAAUAAAAGAAAUUUAAACACACCAUAAUCAUUUAUAUAUAAUGAAUUAGUACAAUAUUUUACACUUUAUGCAUUGCAUGAUAAGAUAUAUGAGUGACUUAGUACCACAUAAAGUUCCUAUCAAGGUCUAAAAUAUCGAUGAUAUCGGAAAUAUCGGUAGUCCAAAAACACGAAAAUUUCGAUAGAAAUAUCAGGAUAAUAUCGAUAUUUUAGACCUUGAUGCUAACUAAAUCAUUCUCUUAUACUAUUUUCAUUUAAAGAAUAAAUGUUUAUGUGUCAGAUUCAGUUUAUUCUUCAAUAUUAAUAUAUAUUUCUUUAAACUUUAAUUUAAGCUAAAAAUGACAAAAUCGAUGAAUAUGAAUAAAUAUAUAAUCGCAGCUACCAAUUCCAUAUAUAAUCUCUAAAACUCCUGCAAAUUUUCGAAUUGCACACAACCUUUCAAAUUACUGCCUUCUUCAAGACACGUGAAUGAAACUGAAAUUCUUCAGUUUUACAUCUUCAGUAAAAUCUCUGUAUCUUUGAUUAAAAUCCUACAUCUUCAUUUUUACAUCUUCAGUAAAAGCUCUGUAUCUAAUGAUUAUUGCUCUUAUAUCAAUCUUUGUUAAAAUAUUUUGCAAAACGAUACGUGUAUAAACACCCAAACCAGAUUCCGACUCCUUAGUAAUAAUUAACGCAUUGCAGUUUAAUUCCAUCUUUUAUUACUAUGAAUAGUCUACUUUAUUGUUUUCCAUGAGUUUUAAUAAUGUAGUUAAUGAUUAAUGGUUUCAUUAAUCUGACAUAGAUAUCCUUUUUUUUAUCUAAUCCAUGAGUGUAUGAAAUGUUAAAACGAUAGUAUAUCACUAUAUUGGGUGGGUAAUCUUUAUCAUAUUAGCUUUCCAAAUUAAUUUUUUAUUUCUACCAUUUACUAUAUUGUUCUAUUGUUUUAGGCUACAGAUGAAGUGUAAAUUGUUAGACAUGUUAGGUAGAAUUAAGAAGUGAAUGAGGUCCUCUUGAGAAUACAUGGGAUAAGCCUACGGGUGUUAAUUUGGUUUUUAGAUUGUUACGGGUGUUAAUUUGGUUUUUAGAUUGUUUGUUCAAUAAUAACCAUAGUCUGAAAUAUCGAUAAUAUCAACGAAAUAUCGAGGAUAUUUCAGUUUUUUCAAAUCACGGAUAUUUCGGAACAUAUCUAUGUACAUAUUGUACAAAUAUCGACAAUAUCGACGAUAACAUCGGAAAAUAUCGAUGUCGAUAAUUUCGCUCACACUUCAGCAAUAUUUUGUCAAAAUAUUGGUGUAAUAUCGCUAAAAUAUGGAAAAUAUCGAUGUAAAGGAAGGAAAAAAAAAAAAGAAAAAAAAGAAAAAAAAGGGAAAAAAGGAAGUGAAUGAGGUCCUCUUGAGAAUACAUGGGAUAAGCCUACGGGUGUUAAUUUGGUUUUUAGAUUGUUACGGGUGUUAAUUUGGUUUUUAGAUUGUUUGUUCAAUAAUAACCAUAGUCUGAAAUAUCGAUAAUAUCGACGAAAUAUCGAGGAUAUUUCGGUUUUUUCAAAUCACGGAUAUUUCGGAACAUAUCUAUGUACAUAUCGUACAAAUAUCGACAAUAUUGACGAUAAUAUCGGAAAAUAUCGAUGUCGAUAAUUUCGCUCACACUUCAGCAAUAUUUUGUCAAAAUAUUGGUGUAAUAUCGCUAAAAUAUGGAAAAUAUCGAUGUAAAGGAAGGAAAAAAAAAAAAAAAGAAGAAAAAAAAGGGCAAAAAGGGAGGAAAAAUAUUGUCGAUAAUUUCGCUCACACUUCAGCAAUAUUUUGUCAAAAUAUUGGUGUAAUAUCGCUAAAAUAUGGAAAAUAUCGAUGUAAAGGAAGGAAAAAAAAAGAAAAAGAAGAAAAAAAAGGGCAAAAAGGGAGGAAAAAAAAAUACAAAGGGGAUUUGAACCCCUCCCAUUUUACUCUUCCAACACCGUAACCACCAUAUAUCACGUAUGUUUUAGUAAUAAUAUGCUAAAAUAUUUAUAUUUAUAUGAGUGGCAUGUUAACAAUUACAUGCAAAACUAUUUUGGGGAUUUAUCAUUUGAUGAAUACUCUCCACAAUAAACUUACUCUACACAUAGAGAUGAUGAAGAUAGUGAAAAUUUUGAACCUCAUAAGAACUUUAUGUGGUACUAAAAAAAAUAAUUUGGCAUUAAACACACUAGGAGAAGCUAGCUUCAAGCCACGAAUAUUUAUAUGUACCAGAUUUCUUUAAAAAAAAUAUUGUUAUUAAGGGGAUGGGAGGACUCGAAACUAUUACAAUAGUUUAGGAGAGGGGAAAGUUUCAAACCUGAGAUUCAUGAGUAGAAACUCAACACCUUAUCAACUGAGAUAUUGUUGAUCUCUUUCUUUUACGAAAUCUUUACUUGUUUCCUUCAAACACUUUCAAGACAAGUAUUGUUGAUACAUCUAUUGCUGCCAUCGGGAAUUCACAAAUAUGUGUAUACAUUUUUUGUUUGAGAAAAAAUAGGGUCCUAAAAAAAGUUCUUGUAAAAUUUGAUAUGGCUUUUUAUGUAAGAGUUUUUCUAUUUGAACACCAUCUCUCAUCUAACUAAUUUUACCCUAAUUUCUAUUUACACCCCAUUAAAAAAUUUAACUUUAAACAUUCUCUAAGUUCACCACAUUUGUUCCAAAAAAAUACCCUAUAUAAACACGACCAUACCUUAUUCUGAUUUCGUUGAAUGUCAUAUAUGCUAGUGGGAAAAGUCUGAAUUUUAAUUUCAAACUAGGACUAAUUCUACCUCACAGCAACAAAACCCCCUUUUUUGUGAUAGAGCAAAACCAAUUAACGAAUAUGUCCACUUGCAUAUCCUACAGAGAGAGAGAGACGAAAGACAGAAGUUAUAUCAUAGAACGGUAGAAGUAUAAUAAUGGGAACUUUAACGAAAAGCAUCCGGUACUGUUCACUUUAACGAAAAACCACAUUUUUACACUAAAAAGUCAAUGCUGGUACUAUUCACUUUACCCUUUAUUUUGUCCUUAUCAUUAAAACUCAAAGUUUUCAAGUCAUUUUCAUUAAUUUUCCUUAUAAUAUAUAUGAACGUGUGAAUUAUUAUUAAUCGUAAUUUAUCAUCUCCUCAACACACCCGCAAAAACACCACCAAAGACAACCCAACAGCAGCAAUUUAUAUAUGAUUCGAAAAGAAAUAAAAAAAGUAAACGAUAGAAGAGGAUGAAUGAUAGAACGGUAGUAGUAUGAGAGGAAUGUGGAGAAAAGUAUAAGAUGAAUGUGGAGGAAGAUGAACGGUAGAACAAUAGAAGGUUUAUUUAUUUAUUUUUAUUUAUUUAUUUAUUUUUAACACAAUUAAAUUUAAUAAUUUCUGUCAUGAAUAAUACUUGGAUUCCCCCAAUGAGGAUUGAGCUCAUUCUUUCACUUGCAAAUAACGUAUCUUCACCGUAAAAAUUUCAUAACUGAAACCAUUCAAUUUCUUAAUUUUCAUUUGAUAAUUAUCCUUAUAAAAAAAUCAUUCGAAACAUAUAUCAUUUGGUCAUUCAAAUGUAUCAAAUAGAUGACAGUUCAUCAUUAACAUUAACAUGUUACUUGGUACUUUCAAUUAUUUGAUACAUUUGAAUGCCUAAACAAUAUCUAAUUCACUACUACAAAAGGGACUUAUAGUGUCAGUGGGUGGUGUCGGUUUAAUAUAAUGUAAUGGCGCAUAAGAGAGUUGCGACACUAAUUGAACAUGACGUCGGAUUUAGUGUCGCUUAUAAGCGAGAUUAAAUGUCUACAUCGCUUUUAAACCGACGUAAACAUUUAAUGUCGCUUAUAACCGACAUAUAAUUUAAUAAUUUUAAAUAUUGGUGUCGCUUUAAAUAAAACAGUGUCGCUUUUAAGCGACAUAAAGUAUUGGUGUCGCUUCUAGGUGACACUAAUUAAUUUAAUAAUUUUAUAACCCUAAAAAAAUACUAUAAUGAUUAUAUAUAUUAAUUUAACAAUUUUAUACCCCUAAAAAUUAUAAUAAUUAUAUAUAUAUUAAAUUAAAUACUAAAAAUUGGUGACCAUUGGAUCGGCUUAAAUAUACAUAUCAUUCAAGUUGAUGAGAUAUGAAUUCUACGAAACUAAUUUCAACAAUCAAACUGUCAAACUUGUUUGUAUAUGCUUCGAGAUUGCAUCAGCCAAAAAUCGAAAAAAAAAAAAACAUUCAGAGAUCAAGUAACGAGACAAAACUUUUCGACGGUUUCAAACGAAAAAUCACGAUUUAAUGGCUAUUUUAACUUCGAUUUUGAUGAUUUUUUACAGCUACACUCCUUGACCUUAUAUGAAUAUAAUGAAUUAACUCGAUCUUCAAUUUCAAAUAUUUACACCAGUGGAUACCAAUAAAUCUUAUGUUAUACUUAAUAAAAGUAUGAAUAAACUCUUAAGUGUUAGUGAAUCUAUUGUUUUGAUGGGAUAUGCAUUCUACGAAUCUAGUUUCAACGAUCCAACCGUCAAACAUAUUUGUAUAUAUUUUUAAGAUCGCAUACGCAAAAAAAAUACAAAAACAAACAUUCAGAGAUCAAGUAACGGGAUAAAACUUUUUGACGAUUAUCAACGAAAAAUCAUGAUUUAACGGUUAUUUUAACUCCGAUUUGAUGAUUUUUUUACAGCUACACUCCUUGACCAUAUAUGAAUACAAUGAAUUAACUCGAUCUUCAAUUUCAAAUAUUUACACUAGUAGAUACCAAUAAAUCUUAUGUUAUACUUAAUAAAAGUAUGAAUAAACUCUUAAGUGUUAGUGAAUCUAUUGUUUUGAUGGGAUACGCAUUUUACGAAACUAGUUUCAACGAUCCAACCGUCAAACAUAUUUGUAUAUACUUCAAGAUCGCAUACGCCAAAAAAUUACAAAAAACAAACAUUUAGAGAUCAAAGUAACUGGAUAAAACUUUUCGACGAUUAUCAACGAAAAAUCAUAAUUUAACGGUUAUUUUAACUCCGAUUUUGAUGAUUUUUUUACAGCUACACUCCUUGACUAUAUAUGAAUACAAUGAAUUAACUCGAUCUUCAAUUUCAAAUAUUUACACUAGUGGAUACCAAUAAAUCUUAUGUUAUACUUAAUGAAAGUAUGAAUAAACUCUUAAAUGUUAGUGAAUCUAUUGCUUUGAUGGGAUACGCAUUCUACGAAACUAAUUUCAACGAUCAAACUGUCAAACUUGUUUGUAUAUGCUUCGAGAUUGCAUCAGCCAAAAAUCGAAAAAAAAAAAAAACAUUCAGAGAUCAAGUAACGGGACAAAACUUUUCGACGGUUAUCAACGAAAAAUCACGAUUUAAUGGCUAUUUUAACUUCGAUUUUGAUGAUUUUUUACAGCUACACUCCUUGACCUUAUAUGAAUAUAAUGAAUUAACUCGAUCUUCAAUUUCAAAUAUUUACACCAGUGGAUACCAAUAAAUCUUAUGUUAUACUUAAUAAAAGUAUGAAUAAACUCUUAAGUGUUAGUGAAUCUAUUGUUUUGAUGGGAUAUGCAUUCUACGAAUCUAGUUUCAACGAUCCAACCAUCAAACAUAUUUGUAUAUAUUUUAAGAUUGCAUACGCAAAAAAUUACAAAAAACAAACAUUCAGAGAUCAAGUAACGAGAUAAAACUUUUCGACGAUUAUCAACGAAAAAUCAUGAUUUAACGGUUAUUUUAACUCCGAUUUGAUGAUUUUUUACAGCUACACUCCUUGACCAUAUAUGAAUACAAUGAAUUAACUCGAUCUUCAAUUUCAAAUAUUUACACUAGUAGAUACCAAUAAAUCUUAUGUUAUACUUAAUAAAAGUAUGAAUAAACUCUUAAGUGUUAGUGAAUCUAUUGUUUUGAUGGGAUACGCAUUUUACGAAACUAGUUUCAACGAUCAAACCGUCAAACAUAUUUGUAUAUACUUCAAGAUCGCAUACGCCAAAAAAUUACAAAAAACAAACAUUUAGAGAUCAAAGUAACUAGAUAAAACUUUUCGACGAUUAUCAACGAAAAAUCAUAAUUUAACGGUUAUUUUAACUCCGAUUUUGAUGAUUUUUUUACAAGCUACACUCCUUGACCAUAUAUGAAUACAAUGAAUUAACUCGAUCUUCAAUUUCAAAAUAUUUUACACUAGUGGAUACCAAAAAAUCUUAUGUUAUACUUAAUGAAAGUAUGAAUAAACUCUUAAGUGUUAGUGAAUCUAUUGUUUUGAUGGGAUACGCAUUCUACGAAACUAAUUUCAACGAUCAAACUGUCAAACUUGUUUGUAUAUGCUUCGAAAUUGCAUCAGCCAAAAAUCGAAAAAAAAAAAAACAUUCAGAGAUCAAGUAACGGGACAAAACUUUUCGACGGUUAUCAACGAAAAAUCACGAUUUAAUGGCUAUUUUAACUUCGAUUUUGAUGAUUUUUUACAGCUACACUCCUUGACCUUAUAUGAAUAUAAUGAAUUAACUCGAUCUUCAAUUUCAAAUAUUUACACUAGUGGAUACCAAUAAAUCUUAUGUUAUACUUAAUAAAAGUAUGAAUAAACUCUUAAGUGUUAGUGAAUCUAUUGUUUUGAUGGGAUAUGCAUUCUACGAAUCUAGUUUCAACGAUCCAACCGUCAAACAUAUUUGUAUAUACUUUAAGAUCGCAUACGCAAAAAAUUACAAAAAACAAACAUUCAGAGAUCAAGUAACGGGAUAAAACUUUUCGACGAUUAUCAACGAAAAAUCAUGAUUUAACGGUUAUUUUAACUCCGAUUUGAUGAUUUUUUUACAGCUACACUCCUUGACCAUAUAUGAAUACAAUGAAUUAACUCGAUCUUCAAUUUCAAAUAUUUACACUAGUAGAUACCAAUAAAUCUUAUGUUAUACUUAAUAAAAGUAUGAAUAAACUCUUAAGUGUUAGUGAAUCUAUUGUUUUGAUGGGAUACGCAUUUUACGAAACUAGUUUCAACGAUCAACCGUCAAACAUAUUUGUAUAUACUUCAAGAUCGCAUACGCCAAAAAAUUACAAAAAACAAACAUUUAGAGAUCAAAGUAACUGGAUAAAACUUUUCGACGAUUAUCAACGAAAAAUCAUAAUUUAACGGUUAUUUUAACUCCGAUUUUGAUGAUUUUUUACAGCUACACUCCUUGACCAUAUAUGAAUACAAUGAAUUAACUCGAUCUUCAAUUUCAAAUAUUUACACUAGUGGAUACCAAUAAAUCUUAUGUUAUACUUAAUGAAAGUAUGAAUAAACUCUUAAGUGUUAGUGAAUCUAUUGUUUUGAUGGGAUACGCAUUCUACGAAACUAAUUUCAACGAUCAAACUGUCAAACUUGUUUGUAUAUGCUUCGAGAUUGCAUCAGCCAAAAAUCGAAAAAAAAAAAAACAUUCAGAGAUCAAGUAACGGGACAAAACUUUUCGACGGUUAUCAACGAAAAAUCACGAUUUAAUGGCUAUUUUAACUUCGAUUUUGAUGAUUUUUUACAGCUACACUCCUUGACCUUAUAUGAAUAUAAUGAAUUAACUCGAUCUUCAAUUUCAAAUAUUUACACCAGUGGAUACCAAUAAAUCUUAUGUUAUACUUAAUAAAAGUAUGAAUAAACUCUUAAGUGUUAGUGAAUCUAUUGUUUUGAUGGGAUAUGCAUUCUACGAAUCUAGUUUCAACGAUCCAACCGUCAAACAUAUUUGUAUAUACUUUAAGAUCGCAUACGCAAAAAAUUACAAAAAACAAACAUUCAGAGAUCAAGUAACGGGAUAAAACUUUUCGACGAUUAUCAACGAAAAAUCAUGAUUUAACGGUUAUUUUAACUCUGAUUUGAUGAUUUUUUUACAGCUACACUCCUUGACUAUAUAUGAAUACAAUGAAUUAACUCGAUCUUCCAUUUCAAAUAUUUACACUAGUAGAUACCAAUAAAUCUUAUGUUAUACUUAAUAAAAGUAUGAAUAAACUCUUAAGUGUUAGUGAAUCUAUUGUUUUGAUAGGAUACGCAUUUUACGAAACUUGUUUCAACGAUCCAACCGUCAAACAUAUUUGUAUAUACUUAAAGAUCGCAUACGCCAAAAAAUUACAAAAAACAAACAUUUAGAGAUCAAAGUAACUGGAUAAAACUUUUCGACGAUUAUCAACGAAAAAUCAUAAUUUAACUGUUAUUUUAACUCCGAUUUUGAUGAUUUUUUACAGCUACACUCCUUGACCAUAUAUGAAUACAAUGAAUUAACUCGAUCUUCAAUUUCAAAUAUUUACACUAGUGGAUACCAAUAAAUCUUAUGUUAUACUUAAUGAAAGUAUGAAUAAACUCUUAAGUGUUAGUGAAUCUAUUGUUUUGAUGGGAUACGCAUUCUACAAAACUAGUUUCAACGAUCCAACCGUCAAACAUGUUUGUAUAAACUUCGAGAUCGCAUACGCCAGAAAUUACAAAAAACAAACAUUCAGAGAUCAAGUAACGGGAUAAAACUUUUCGACGGUUAUCAAUGAAAAAUCACGAUUUAACGGUUAUUUUAACUCCGAUUUUGAUGAUUUUUUACAGCUACACUCCUUGAUCCUAUAUGAAUACAAUGAAUGAAUUCGAUCUUCAAUUUAAAAUAUUUACACAAGUGGAUACCAAUAAAUCUUAUGUUAUACUUAAUGAAAAUAUGAAUAAAUUCUAAAGUGUUAGUUAAUCUAUUGUUUUGAUGGGAUACGCAUUCUAUGAAACUAGUUUCAACGAUCCAACCGUCAAACAUGUUUGUAUAUACUUCGAGAUCGCAUACGCCAAAAAUUACAAAAAACAAACAUUCAGAGAUCAAGUAAUGAGAUAAAACUUUUCGAUGGUUAUCAACGAAAAAUCAUGAUUUAAUGGUUAUUUUAACUUCGAUUUUGAUGAUUUUUUACAGCUACACUCCUUGACCCUAUAUGAAUACAAUGAAUGAAUUUGAUCUUCAAUUUAAAAUAUUUACACUAGUGGGUAUGAAGGAGCAAAGACUGCCGUAAGAACUCAUGAAGGACAAACCGAAAGUUUUCCCAUAACUGUAGGAUUACAUCAAGGCUCAUCCUUAAGUCCUUACCUUUUUGCGUUGGUAAUGGAUGAGUUAAUAGGACAUAUUCAAGAUGAUAUUCCUUGGUGUAUGCUUUUCGCAGAUGAUAUAAUGUUGAUAGAUGAAACUCAGGAAGGGGUAAAUGCAAAGCUUAACCUUUGGAGAGAUGUGUUGGAAUCUAAAGGUCUUCGCCUAAGCCGAUCAAAGACAGAAUAUAUGGAGUGCAAGUUCAGUGCAAAUGGAGGCCAAAACGAGUUAGGGGUGAGGAUCGGAGAUCAAGAAAUACCAAAGAGCGACUAUUUUCGUUACCUAGGAUCUAUCUUGCAAAAGAACGGAGAAUUAGAUGGAGAUCUCAACCAUAGAAUACAAGCUGGAUGGAUGAAGUGGAAGAGUGCAUCCGGCGUGUUGUGUGACCGCCGUAUGCCACUGAAGCUCAAGGGAAAAUUUUAUAGGACGACAAUAAGGCCGGCGAUGCUGUAUGGCACAGAAUGUUGGGCGGUGAAGCAUCAACACGUACACAAAAUGGGUGUAGCGGAGAUGAGGAUGCUUCGUUGGAUGUGUGGGCACACGAGAAAGGAUAAGAUUAGGAAUGAGGAUAUCCGGGGUAAAGUAGGAGUAGCCGAAAUUAAAGGAAAGAUGAGAGAAAAUCGGUUACGGUGGUUUGGACAUGUGCAAAGAAGGCCUACUGACGCUCCGAUUAGAAGAUGCGACUAUGGGACAGAGGUUCAGGGCCGAAGGGGUAGAGGAAGACCUAGGAAAACUUUGGAAGAGACCCUAAGAAAAGACUUAGAGUACUUGGAUCUAACGGAGGACAUGACACAGGACAGAACACAAUGGCGUUCUAAGAUUCAUAUAGCCGAUCCCACUCAGUGACUUGGAUUUUUCCAAGUCUCCAACCGAGAAGUUUUCCUCACUCGGGAAAUUAAGGGAACACUACCUCAACCUACAUGCUCCACUCACAAAGCUUCAAACAUACAAGCUUCAACAAAAGAAAAAUUCAAAGAACUUAGCGAAGAAGGCUUUGGUGUAUUUAACACAAUACGUUGAAAUGAAGGAAAGCUUAUUUAUUGAUAUCCCCGAUAAGUUACAAAUAUGUACAUAUACUUGAGUCAAAAUAAACAAACAAGAGGGAGCCUUCACAAAGGUUGCUUAGGAGAAGUCUCAGCAGUCGGUAGAGCCCAGAAAGAGAAGGCACCGGAGGGGAUCAUUCGGAGCCUCAGUACUGGACAAGAACCCUAGAAGGAGGAGGCAUCAGAGGUUGAUCAUUUGGAGCUUCAUUACGCGGUACAGCCCCAGAAGACGAAGGCAAAUAAAUGCCUUUGGAACAAACCCACAAAUCUCUGAUGAUCAAGUAAAACCUGACCAUCAGAUUCCUUCAUCUGGUCAAGCUUCCUCUUCAUGUUUGUAGCAUAGUCAUGUGCGAGCCGGUGCAACUGUUUAUUCUCAUGCUUGAGCCCUCUAAUCUCCUGUUUGAGACUCAUCACUUCAGCCGCCAAUGAUUCAACUUGGCGGGUUCGAGCAAAUAGGCGUUGGGCCAUAUUAGACACAGAACCUGCACACUGAACACUGAGAGCCAGAGAAUCCUUAACAGCCAACUCAUCAGACCGUUUGGAAAGUAGUCUGUUAUCUUUGGGAGUGAGAAGGUUCCUGGCCACUACCGCAGCGGUCAUAUCAUUCUUCAUCACGGAAUCCCCAACGGUAAGAGGACCAGUAGGGGAGACGAAGGAUGGGCGCCAUAUGUUGUCUGGAGAAGGCGGGGCUGCCUCUUCAACAAGGUUCAAGUCAAAACGACGGUCGGAGGGGCCAGACAUUUUCAAAGGUGUUGAAGAGAGAAGAGGUCGGACAAAUCAAGAUCUUAGAAGUGCAAGAAUGGAGCUUCUACUGGUGGAUAUUCAAGUGUGCUUUGGAACUUAAUGUCAGCCCCUAUAAAAAUCUGCACUCGACGAAGCUUCAGAAAUCGAAGAGGCGCCUGCUCAGAAAUCGAAGAGGCGUUUGCUUUCUCAAAAGCUGGGCUGCUCAGAGACCACGAGGGUCGAUCUCAGAAAUCGAAGAGGCGUUUGCUUUCUCAAAAGCUGGGCUGCUCAAAGACCACGAAGGCCGAUCUCAGAAAUCGAAGAGGCUUGCUUUCUCAAAAGCUGGGCUGCUCAGAGACCACGAGGGCCGAUCUCAGAAAUCGAAGAGGCACCUACUUUUCCAAGCCUUGUCAGCACCUGUCACACGCACACUCAACUUUGCGGAAAUUAUGGGCAUUCUGUCGAAGAUUUCUGGCGAAGUAGAAAGCACAUGAAUUGUACUGUUCAAUCACCCACUUCCCACACGCAACAGUAGCUCAUGGGUACCACAGAUAACUUUGCCAAAGUUCUCUGACAAAGUUGAGACACGUGAAGCUUGCAGCUCCCACUACAUCGCUCUGACCAAGAAGGGUAAAAGAAUUAGCAAAGAAACAACACUAACAAAGUUUAGACACAUAAAUUUUGAAGGUCUAGCUACCAUAUAUUAUUACCCACAAGGGUAAAGGAACAGUACCACUGCUGGAUAAUUGGAAAGUCCCGGUGUGUCAACCUCUGUGCUUCGUGGCAAGGUAGACUAGCAAACAUGCCCAACCUUUACUCACAUUCGAGAAAACACUCCAACAUGAUUGAUUGCUCCAAAAUCGAAGAGGCACCGCCCUCCGAAUCUCGAGAGCCAGACUCCCAACAUGAUUACUUUCUCAAAAAUCGAAGAGAGGGUAAAGGAACAGUACCACUGCUGGAUAAUUGGAAAGUCCCUGUGUGUCAACCUUUGUGCUUCGUGGCAAGGUAGACUAGCAAACAUGCCCAACCUUUACUCACAUUCGAGAAAAACACUCCCAACAAGAUUGCUUGCUCCAAAAUCGAAGAGGCACCGCCCUCCGAAUCUCGAGAGCCAGACUCCCAACAUGAUUACUUUCUCAAAAAUCGAAGAGAGGGUAAAGGAACAGUACCACUGCUGGAUAAUUGGAAAGUCCCUGUGUGUCAACCUCUGUGCUUCGUGGCAAGGUAGACUAGCAAAACAUGCCCAACCUUUACUCACAUUCGAGAAAACACUCCCAACAAGAUUGCUUGCUCCAAAAAUCGAAGAGGCACCGCCCUCCGAAUCUCGAGAGCCAGACUCCCAACAUGAUUACUUUCUCAAAAAUCGAAGAGACACCGCUCUCCGAAUCUCGAGAGCCAGACCCCCAGCAGGAUUGCUUUCUUCAAAAAUCGAAGAGGCAUCGUUCUCCGAAUCUCGAGAGCCAGAUCCCCGACAUGAUUGCUUGUUCGAAAACCGAAGAGGCACCACUUUCCCAACUUCAAGAGCUGGAUCUCCUUGGAUAAAUCUUGUCUGUAAUCUUCACACGCAACAUCAGCUUUCCAGAUACCACAUACCACUUUUUCAAAGUGCUCUGACAGAGUUAAAACAUGUGAAGCUGGUAGCUCCCACUACCGUGCUUUGACCAAGCAGGGUAAAGGAAUAGCAUUAUUACUUGAUGUUAGGAAGACUCCUAUAUAUGUCGACCUUCAUCCCUAAAGGACAGGCAGACCUGCAAAAAUGCUCAACCCUUUCCUCUUAUCUGAGAGGGCACUCCCAACGAAGCCUUUCGAAAUAUUCAGCUUUCUUUUCCCCCGAUAAUACCUCUGUAAACAAGCUAUACUAGAGCAAGAAUAUCUCAUAUCAUCAGGGUUAAAAGCAAGAGUAUCCCAUAUCAUGCUUUUUUCCCUGUCUUUUCCUUUGGCCUUGUUCUUACCUGCAAGACAAGGAGAAAGAGAGCAAUCAGUCAGCACUUGGAAUCAAGCUUCCAGCCAGGAACUGACUGCCUGGAACCCCUUACCUGAUUACUUACCUGGCAUUGCUCUCGAGUACUCAUCUUCAACAUCUUAUGCUUCCAGGGAAGAUACCGCAUCUGCCUGAGGAACAGAUAGGGCAAGUGAGAAGGAUACAAGGAAGCAUGUGGAGACAAGCGUAACAGCACACGUGCCGAUACAUCCACUACUCUGUCAAAAGCAAAAGUAUCCCAUAUCAGCAGGGUCGAACGUACUCUAGAUUUGAUGGACUUGUUUUGACCCUCAAAUUCUUCAGUCGGCCUUUACUCUGGAGGAAACCAGAAAACCCUCCAGCCCGGUUCAAGAAUAAGCCUGUGGAAAGUUACUUCUUCAAAAAGCAAAAAGUAUCCCAUAUCAUCUCUUCUCAUUUUUCUUCUCUUUAUCCUUCAUGCUGCCUGCAAGAUAGGGAGAAUGUGAACAAUCAGCCGGAGCUCUGAUUGCUUACCUUGUCUGUCACCUCUUUCAGCAGAUCCCCUAGCUCGGCGACUUGGGGGACUCCUACUACAUGGUUUGUAUCGCGCUUGACCAAGCCUGAAACUACAAGUAAGCUUCAAGUGAAAUUGAUACAUUACCUUGUGCAUCUCCACCAGUUACAGAUACCACCCCUGGAUGGAGGAAGAGUACUUCCAGAGAAGAUGCCACAUCUACCUAUGAGACAGAUAAGGCAAGUCAAGACGAUACCACACUCCGGUACUUAGAAGUUUCGUGGUUACGAGAUCAUUCUCCCACAAUAUUUCCUAAUGUCAUUUGUACUAAAUCAUUCACUUGUACUCACUAAAUGAGAGCUUGAACCUAUGUACUUGUGUAAACCCUUCACAAUUAAUGAGAACUCCUAUAUUCCGUGGACGUAGCCAAUCUGGGUGAACCACGUACAUCUUGUGUUUGCUUUCCUAUCUCUAUCCAUUUAUAUACUUAUCCACACUAAUGACCGGAGCAAUCUAGCGAAGAUCACAAAAAGUGACCGUUUUCGCUACCUAGGAUCUAUCUUGCAAGAGAACGGAGAAUUAGAUGGAGAUCUCAACCAUAGAAUACAAGCUGGAUGGAUGAAGUGUAAGAGUGCAUCUGGCGUGUUGUGUGACCGUCGUAGGCCACUGAAGCUCAAGGGAAAAUUUUAUAGGACGGCAAUAAGGCCAGCGAUGUUGUAUGGCACAGAAUGUUGGGCGGUGAAGCAUCAACACGUACACAAAAUGGGUGUAGCGAAGAUGAGGAUGCUUCGUGGGAUGUAUGGGCACACGAUAAAGGAUAAGAUUGGGAAUGAGGAUAUCCGAGGUAAAGUAGGAGUAGCCAAAAUUGAAGGAAAUAUGAGAGAAAAUCGGUUCCGGUGGUUUGGACAUGUGCAAAGAAGGCCUACUGACGCUCCGGUUCGAAAAUGUGACUACAUGACAGAGGUUCAGGGCCGAAGGGGUAGAGGAAGACCUAGGAAAACUUUGGAAGAGACCCUAAGAAAAGACUUGAGUACUUGGAUCUAACGGAGGACAUGACACAAAACCGAGCGCAAUGGCGUUCUAGGAUUCAUAUAGCCGACCCCACUUAGUGGGAAAAUGCUUUGUUGUUGUUGUUGUUGUAGUGGAUAAACGAUAGAUUCACUAACACUUAGAGUUUAUUUAUACUUUCAUUAAGUAUAACAAAUAUUUUGUGGUAUCCACUAGUGUAAAUAUUUUAAAUUGAAGAUCGAAUUCAUUCAUUGUAUUCAUAUAGGGUAAAGGAGUGUAGCUGUAAAAAAUAAUCAAAAUCGGAGUUAAAAUAACCGUUAAAUCGUGAUUUUUCAUUUUAUAACCGUCGGAAAGUUUUGUCCCGAAACUCGUUAUUUUUUUUGUAUGGUGACAUUUUUUUUUUUACAAAACUAUUUUUCUGUCACCUAAUUUGAAAUACGGUAGGCGGGAACUUUCCCGCUUGUUCUGAUAUGGUGUCAGUUUGAAUCGACACAAGGGUUAACUAAACUGACGUCAUUUGAAUUAAAAAAAACUAUGUCAGAAAGUGGUUGUUUGAUUUAAUGUAUCAAUAAAGUGUGUCAGUGGUGGUAUCGGUUUAAACCGACACCAACUUUAACGAAACCGACGCUACGUUUGGUCCAAUAAAUGUUGUCAUAAAGUGGGUGGAUUUAAUUGGACGUAAUGCAUGUCAGAAGUGGGUGGCGGUUUUAACCGACACUAAGCCUCACUUAUUGCAACGCCAGUGUAUUUUAAUACGACGUUAGGAACUUAAUGUCGAUUUAAACCGACGCUAACUCAGCAUCCCUAAUUAAACCCCUUUUUCCCCCAUUUCAUCCGAGCUUUCAUUUUUUUUCCCUAAUUUCAAUCUCUCAUUCUCCUUCUCAAUUUCGUCCGUACUUCCAUUUCAUCUCUCUUUCACUUUUUAGUUUUGUUCUUCUUCUUGCAGAUUGUUUUGCUAUGGAUCAUAUGAAAAUGAGCAUGCUGACGAAAUCCAAUUCGAAGAGGAAGAAGUCGAAGGUGGUCGAUUUUUAAUUUAUUAUGGUUAUUAGUUGAGUAAUCAAACUAUAAGAUUGAGAGUUCUUUUUUCUCUUGCAUUAGAGUGAACGAAUAGUGGUUUUGUAAUUUUACUUUCGUUGUUGUUGUUGUUCUGUUGACCUGAAAUUUUACUGCUCAUGUUCUUUGACAAAGCGGCGGUGGAGGUACAAGGUGACCAGAUAAAGAACUCGAAAAGCCCAUGGAAACUCAGUACAGUUACCCAAGUAGAGGAGCUAAAAUCAAUCAUAAGGCUGCUUCCCAUAUGGGCCACUGGUAUCAUCUUUGUUGUAGUCUACAGUCAGAGAAGCAACUUCUUUGUGUUGCAAGGCACCCUCAUGGAUAUUCAUGUCGGCCGCUCUAUCUUUGAAAUCCCGGCAGCAUCUCUUUAAAUCUUUGACACCCUAGUGUCAUUUUUUGGGUCCCAAUAUACGAUUGAAUCAUUGUGCUAGCAGCUAGAAAAUACACCGAUCACAAGAAUGGCCUAACUACACUCCAAAGGAUGGGCAUUGGCCUCUUCAUCUCCAUAUUUUCCAUGGUCUGUGCUGCAAUUUUGGAACUCAUCAUGAUGGUGCAAAAGAAAAAUUCCACACAACUAGUGCAAAACCACACAACUAUAAAAAUAUUGUUGAAAUUAUUUUUAUAUAAUUUUUUUAAAUAUUAUUAACUAAAAACUGAGGAAGUUUUAUUAGAAUUUAUUAUUUUUAAUAUAUCUGGUGUCGCUUAUGGACGACAUUAGUGUAAUUAUUUAAUAUUGAAGACAUUAGUUAAUGUCGGUUAAGACCGACAGUAGCUUGAGUAUUUUAUUUAUUUAACGUACUUGAUGUCGGUUUGGACCGACAGAAAGUGUGAUAUUUUAUUGUUUAUUUCUUACGUAAUGUCGGUUUUAAGCGACAGAAAGUGUGAUAUUUUUAUUGUUUAUUUCUUAUGUAAUGUCGGUCUUCAUGUCGCUUAUAAGCGACGUAAGAGCCAAUGUCCCCUUUUUAAGCAACGCUGUUGUUCAUUUAGAUUUUAUAUUACUUUGCUUCUUGGUGGCGGAUUAAGGGGGUUAAGCGACGCCAUUACCCUUUUGUGACGGUAGUAUUGAUGUCGGUUUUUCUAUGCGACAUUGCACGAUUUAAUGUUGGAUUUUUACCAAAAAUCCGACAUUAAUGGGUGUUUCUUGUCGGUUUUUCACCGCCACUAAUGUGCCAUUUUGUAGUAGUGAUUCGAAUGAUUUUUUGUUGGUACGAUCUCCAUUGAAGAUUAAGAAAUAGAAUUUGUUCCGAACAAUAGAGUAGUGUUUUAUUCAUGAUCAACAUAAACAAUUACAAGCGUCAAUUGGGCACAUUGUUACAGUGAUCAAUAAAUUGAUUUGGAGUGAAUUUGCAUAGACAAACAAAUCGAGUAAAACUCUUAUAUGACAAUCACAAGCACAACCCAUACAAUUGGCACCACUACAAAUUUUGUCACAAAUUGUAGACACACAUCGGUCAUCGCUGAAUAGCGAGGCUACAUAAAGCAAGACAACACACAAUCAUCGCAAAAAAGCUAGACCAUAUACAAUCAUUGCAAAAGCAUGACAAUACAAAUAAAACUACAUUAAUCUGAGAACGGAACCACUGGGUGGCUAAUCAUUGUGGAGGACACCUUAUCCAACACCAUUUGCAACUACAUGGCUCUGAAGGCAUCCAUAGCUUCUACGAGUCAAGGUGGACCCAUCAUUUCUAGGUCGUGGAGACACAAUAACUUGACGCAUAAGGCAGCAGCUGGAACCAUUACAUCUGUGCACAUCAGUCAGAACAGCCAUAAAAUUAUUGGAGAAAUGUAUCACCACCAUGGAUUCAAGCUGGCGUAUAUGGAUCUGACCCACCAACAACCAUGAAUCUCACCCACACCCUCAAAUCUAAUGUUAAAUCUAAAGAAAGACCUUGAGAUGAGGCAUGGCUCAAGUCUGGGUAUGAGGCACCAAAGCCAAAAGAUAAGUUACUCGCAAAAUGGUGGGACAUAAGCAAUUAAUAUAUGAGAGGAGAAGGGGGCGCGACCGUGCAAGCCAAGAUAGGGGUGGCAGCGGAGCGGAGGGGAUGUGGUAUGAGAAGAAAAGAAAGGAAAGUACGCAGUGGGGGAUGGGGAGGAAGACGGACUAGAAGGGAGAGGUUUGUCGCCGACCGCAAGCUGAAGAAAAGGGCCAACGACUAAAAAUUGGGGAAUUUAGGGUUUUUGGGUUUUGGGAGAGAUAGUUGGGGAGAGAGAAAGUUAAGAUUAUGAUUUUUUUAUAUUUUUAUAAUGAACAUACUUUAUUUGUAAAUAAGGUAAUGAGCUCAUUCAAAAAAAGGUGCUGAAUAUUUGUAGCAUUACCUUUUUCUUGUACCAUACACAACACAAUAAAUUUGGGCAAAGCCACAGAAUGUUUGGCCACGCCUAGUAAUUCGCUUCUUUUACUUACUAGCCAUGGACACGGUCCUCGCCUCACUACCCAAUUACAAACGUCAAUUGGGCACAUUGCUACAGUGAUCAAUAAAUUGAUUUGGAGUGAAUUUGCAUAGACAAACAAAUUGAGUAAAACUCUUAUAUGACAACCACAAACACAACCAUAUAAUUGGCACCACUACAUAUUUCAUCACAAAUUGUAGACACACAUCAGUCAUUGUUGAAUAGUGAGGCUACAUAUAGCGAGACAACACACAAUCAUCACAAAAAAGCUAGACCACAUCCAAUCAUUAGAAAAGUAUGACAAUACAACUAAAACUACAUUAAUUUGAGAACGGAACCAUCGGGCGGCUAAUCAUUGUGGAGGACACCCUAUCCAACACCACUUGUAACUACAUAGCUCUAAUGACAUUGUUGACCCUAAAAACUAUCAAGCCUACGUGGCGUGCAAGUCAAGUAGCUAAUGAGCUAACUAUAUCCUUCGGUUGAUGUGGGGUGUGCCAACUCGUGUGCCGAGCUCGGUCGAGGAUUAAAAUGUGUUGAUGUUGCGUUGAGUGCGCGACUGACUUCUCGAUCUUGCGACUGCGGCCGAGGAAGGAACACAUCUCGUCCUUUGGGUUUUAGAGCUUGAAGACAAGGCUGCUAACUUUGUGAAGUUCACAAAUUGUCAGCACCGGAUUCGGUCACAGUGAUUAUAUUUGUAAGGGUAUAAGCACGUCAAAUUGACACCAAAGUAUAUGGGCACAGAUACUUAAAAUAUAUAUAUGUCUUGAUGGUAAAUAUGGUUCGGCGCCAAACUCUAAAGCUUACCUGUGAGUAUCCAAUCAUAAAACAACUUGGCAUUCAAUGUGCCGAGCCCUAGUAAGCUAUAACACCUCACCUCGUCGAAAAGGCUAAUGAGAUGACCUCUACCAAUAAAGACCCGAAAGUCUUUCUCGACCGAGACUUGGAUAGAUAACCAGUCGACCUUAAAGCAAUGCUGUUUAUCCAAACUGAAGAUGUGUUGGCGAAAAAGAAAAAAAAAUCUCAAGGUUGUUGAGAGGUUUCGCGUAGAACGAGGGUUUGCACAGAGCAGUUUGUACGUUGAAUUGGAGGGGGCUUGAGUGAUGCACUCCACCCUUUAUUUACAGUAGCAAACUUGCUUCUGAUCGAACCAAAACUAUACUUGGAUUAGGACUCCUUACCUCGAUCCAAUCUUAUCUCGGCCAGUCCUACUCCUAUUAGGACUUUGAACUCAACCCCUUAUCAAGCUGUAUUCAUUCCCAAGUUUUAGCAUCCUUAUCCUGCCGGGACUCCUUAUUGUAUCAGGAUUCAACUACCCCAUCCUGAUAGGACACGACCGGCCCCUGAGCAACAUUUUUGGGCCGAGAACAAUUUUAAACUCGGCCCAAACCAAUAUUUUGGGCCCAAACAGACAUCUAUAGCUUCUGCGAGUCAAGGCGGAAACACAAUAACUUGACGCAUAAGGCAGCGGUUAGAGCCAUUAGAUUUGUACACAUCAGUGAGAACAACCAUAAAAUUGUUGGAGGAAUGUAUCACCACCAUGGAUUUAAGCAGACGUAUGUGGAUCUUACCCACCAACAACCAUGAAUCUCACCCAAACCCUCAGAUCUAACGUUAAAUCUAGAGAAAGACCUUGAGAUGAGGCAUGGCUCAGGUCUGGGUAUGAGGCACCAAAGCCAAAGGAUAGGUUACUCACAAAAUGGUGGGAGAUAAGCAAUGAAUGGAUGAGAGGAGAAGGGGGCGCGGCCAUGUAAGCCAAGAGAGGGGUGGCAGGGGAGCGGAGGGGACAUGGUAUGAGAAGAAAAGAAUGGGGGAGGGGGAGGAAGACGGACUAUAAGGGAAAGGUUUGUCACCGACCCCUAGCUGGAGAAAAUGGCUAGAGGCUAAAAUUGCGGAAUUUAAGGUUUCUGGGUUUUGGGAGAGAUAGUUGGGGAGAGAGAAAGUUAAGAUUAUGAUUUUUUUUUAAUGAAGAUACGUUUUUUUGUAAAUAGGAUAAUGAGCUCAUCCCAAACAAAAAAAAAUGCUAAUUAUUUGUAUCAUUACCAUUUUCUUGUACCAUACAUACACACCACAAUAAAUUUGGGCAAAGCCACGAAAUGUUUGGUAACGCCUAGUAACUUGCUUCUUUUACUUACUAGCCACGGCCUCGGGCGACGCAUCACUACCCAAAAAAAUGUUUUAUUCUGUUACAAAAUAAUUAAUCCACGAAAAAAAAUACCAAGACAUAUAUGCACUUGGUACAACUACAAAAUACCAAGUACCUCUUGUUAUUCGUAAAUAUUAUUAUUCCUCUUGGCAUAUAAUUAACUUUUUUUUGGUAAAGGGCAUAUAAUUAACUAGGACCCAAGCUUUAUAUAGCUAUAAAGGAAUUAGAGGGACUUCAUCAUCACAGGCAGUAAUUUCUUGAGCCCUUGACCUUUCUUGGACACAAAUUUGACUGCAUUAGCAUGUUGAGCAGCAGUUUUUUCACUUGGAUAUGAAGAUGGACUUGGAGAAGGAGAAAAAGCGGGAGCAAUAUAAAGAGCAAUCUUUUGACCUUUGGUGCAGUGGCCGGCGAAGGUGCAGGUCAAAUAAUAUGUGUCCGACUGAACAAACUGAAACUCUCCGCCUUCUUGGAAUACAAAUAAGGGGUUGUCCGUGUUGCAGGCGUCGUAAUCCUCCUUGGUUACUAUAGCCAAGUCUUGUUCUCCAACUUUAAAGUUGAAGUCUGCACAAGCAAAUCAUAUCAUCAAUAUCAUCAUCAUGCAUGAUCAUUAUCAUCAUAGCCGUCAUCAUGAUGAUCAGUUACGGACCGGUUUGAUAACAAUAUUUGUGAAAAAUAAAGACUGAAAUUAGUUACUAAAUAAGUUUUCAAUUUAAAAAAAAAAUACAUAAAAUUAAAACUGAAAAUGAAAUGAUUAUCAAACGGCUCCUAAAAUUAAAUAAUAAGUGGAAAGUAAAGAGAAGCUCACUUAUAAAAUCAGUAACGGACAAUCUAUGCUUGGCAGCCCAUGCUUCGUACGUAGCAGCGCCACCAGGAGGAAUAGUCCAACCCAACUCAUCUCCCACUGUAUAUUCUCCAGCUUCUGCUCCAAGUAGCGAUGUUGUGGUAAUCACUGCUAGAACAAGGACAACCACAUUACUCACAUUCAUGAUUUUAACCAUCUUUUAAUUCUCGUGUUCGUGUUGUUUCUUGUACGAAGGAAUUUAGCAGUGUGGUAUUGGGAUGUUGGAGGUCUGAAUUUAUACUGGGGACACUUCUCGGAUUUUAGGAAGCGGUUGAGGGCGGCCGGCCAAAAUGCAUUGUGUAUGACAUCCGGAAAUUGCAAGCUAGCUACCCUAUGUGAGGUGCAGUACAAAUCACUAAUUAACUGGUACGUACGUCCGAAGAUCCGUAUAGGGAUAUUUCAAUGAGCAGGCGUCGAUGUUAAUUAUGUUUGGACUAGAAACAUUUUUUGUGAAUUUUGAGUUCUAUAUAAAACACAAACCUGCAGGCCAUGGCAUUGCUGAUUCCCUUGCACAGAAUUGUGACAAAUAUAACAUUGGCCACCUCAUUCAAUUAAGAAAUAGGGCAUUUUAAAUGGUAAUUCUGGGUCAGUUGUCGACCCUCUAUGUUCCCAAUUUUAUAAGUUCAGGUCCAAUAACUUUUAAAAAUGAGGUUGAAAUAGAAAAGUUGAACCCUAACGCAUAAGCUAAUCAAAGUUCGAAGAGUACUUCUUUUAAAUUAACUCCAAAUUAAUUACCACAAUUUACAUGUAAAUGUCCAUUUUCAUCAUAAAAGUUUAGGCCAAAGUUCUAAAAGACGUUAGGCGCUAGUCGGGCGGCGAGCUGGGGCCUAGUGCCUAGGCGGACUAGGCGGAUUUAAGUAAAUCUAUUAUAUUUUGUGUAAAUAAGUGUCUGUUUAUACUUAAAAUAUAUAUAAUUACUUCAUAAAUUACAAAAUUGAAUGACAUAUAUAUUAUGAAGUCUUGAAACAUAAUGAAAACAUGGGGAACAAGCAUAUAAUGUGUGUUCAUUUAAGUAUCAACAAC
rnacentral:lncRNA from 1 species